AAAGAUAAAUUAUCGUUUAUUAUAACCUGUAUAGUAACUAUAUAUAAUCAAACAUAAGAAGAUUUAUCAUAGCACACUAGUGCGUUUAUUUAUAAUUUCCUAUAGAGCAACAUACAACCAUAAACCAUCGAAAAUAUAUAUAUCUUCAACUUCAUUAUUACUUGCAUAUACCAUUUUUAUCAUCACAAAUACUUUAUAACUAUUUGUUAAAGUUCGUUGUGGAUGCGUCAAAGUUACCCUCAGUGUACCCUCCAUUGCCAUUACCAUGGAAAGUACCACUGUUAUUUACGGUACGCUCGCCAUGAUUGUUGGUGGUGCGGUGUUUCUCUCGGUCCCCAGAAUUUGAACCGCUGUUGAUUUUGGCACCGGAGAAAUUUUGGUUCCCGCCGCCAUGGUUGUUAAAUGCGUCAGCAGUACCAUGGUUGUUGGAUUUCGCAGCUUCGGCUUCUUCAGCCUCAAGCAUGGCGAUGAGUUUCUUGAGCACACGAGAUGACAUUCUUAUAAUCUUACUUAAAUAUUGCUAUUAGAAUUUUUGUGUUUGGAUGGUGUUAAUGUUGCAACUAAAACCUUAUUAUAUAGAUGUAAGGAAAGGAAUCUGAUGCGUUUGCUUGCUUGUUCACUCGAAACUAUACAGAAUAUUGUUUCUUACCUUUUAUUUCUAAGAAUAUUGAUUUUUUUUUUAUUGUAAAAUAAUUUACUAAAAUUAUGUUGAGAUUAAAAUACUCAAGUAAAAUAUAUGAGAUGAUUAAAAUAGUCAGUAAAAUACUCAAAGGAGUUUUCUGUUUUCAUGGCUAUAAUCUUUUUUUUUCAACAAUCUUUUGUGCAUCGACUCACAACUCCUAGUAUUUUAAGGUUGAAGGCGUUUACAAGAGAUAGUGAUGAAUCGAUAGUAUAAAUCUUUUUAUAUUGACAAUGCAUAGUAAUUAAUCUCUUUUAAAUAAGAUUUAAUUAAAAUAUACUCACAAUGUAAAAGAAUUUUACACUGCCAGUUAAUCUUAAACGUUGGAUAUUGAAAUAAGUUUGACUUUUAUUUUAAAAAUCUAUAAAGUAAUUCAAAUGAAUGAUGAUGAUGAAUCGAUAGUGUAAAUCUUUUUACACUGACAGUGCCUAGUAAUUAAUCUCUUUUGAAUAUUUUUCAUAUAAAUUAAGAGUGUCUUAUUUACGAAGUACUAAAAUGUAUGUAUAAAAAAUGAGUCCAAAGAUGCAUAUUCGGACACUAAAGAUAGUCGUGAAUUUUCACAAGGGUGGUGGGAUACCUAUAAGAGUGAAAGUGACAACCCCUAAAAAAACAUCCAUAACAAAGACACGUCGCUAAUUUAAACCGUCACUACGAAUGUCUAAGAGAAAAUUUUGAGCAUGUAUUUUUAUUUUAUUUUUGGAUAAUAUCAAAUUUUACUUCCAUAUUUUUUUUUUCUAGAAACACCUACUCGCUAAAAACAUGGUUGGCUUUAGGAGGACGAUGUAUUUUCAAUUAAACUACUAAGAUCGAAAUAUGGAACCAUCAUUAAGCCAUCCAAAGCCAUAUCAAAAUCUCCAUAUAAUAAAUCAAAAUAUAUCUCAAUAUAUAAUUUUGUAAUUCCCUUAAAAGCUACAAAAACUUAUGAGGUCACUCCUCCUUCACAUUCCAAACCUAAUCCCUCAACUCUAAUAGAAAACAAAGUUAUCCUCCACCAAAUUGAGAUUUUUUUUACUCCGAUGCUCUACUUUUGAAACAAAAUUUUCUAAUUGUCCCACUUUGAAAAUAAAACCUCUAGUUAUCCCAUUUAAUGAAGGGACUCGGCUAUUGAAUAGUUGAGGGUACACUAAAUUUAUUUAAAUGUCGAUCAAUGAAUGGAGGAGACCAUUAAUGUUAUAUUAUUUUUUAUAUUUUUUUUGUUUAUUUGAUCUCUUUGACUCCUCCACCAUUGAAAGAUCGAACUCUUUCUUUCAAAAUUUCACUUCCUACUCCGGGCCAAUGAAAGACUGAGCUUGUUCAAAAAAAGAGAACAGUUAAAUAUUUCUUUUUUAAUUUGAGAUAUUUUAGAAUUUAAAUUUCAAAAAAGGGACAUUGAGGUGAAAAAGUCCUAAAUUAAAGUUUUUUAAGAUAAAGACCUCCACCAACUAUUUCUCAAAAGAAAUAAAUGACAAUUUUCAUUGAAAAUCUCUCAAUAAAACCUCUAUCUUGAGGUAACAUCUCCUCAAAGAAAUUCAUCACAAACAUUGGUCUUCCAAUGUCCGAAGAAACAACUCCUACGAAGUUUAUUGGCAUAACAUAAAGUUCCAAAGAUAGCACUCCUCAUCCUCAUCCUCCAUCUUCCUUCUAGACAUGAGCUAACAAAUAGAGUAAUUUAACAUAAUUUAACAUAAAAGAUUUCUUGCUAGAAUACUCAAAUUGAUAUGUAUAUUAUUUAGUGGGUUCGAAAACUAUGUAUACCCCAUGAUGUCUCUACGAUUUAAAGCAAUUGAGAAUAGUUAUAAAAUAUUUAAAAAUAUAUAUAAGGUAGGAUUUAUUAUAUAUAAUAAUAUUCUUUUAGUUUCUUAAAAAUCAAAUAAAUAUUAAAAUAUAGUUUAGUCCUUAAAAAUACUCCCCUCCAAACAAAUUCAAUCCUACUUGUAAGGGAAAGAAUCAAGUGCUACUUGGUCAAUCGAGGAUAUGGUUCGAUAAUUUAAUAUAAACACCAAACAAGUAGGAUUAGUUUUGAUGUGAAAAAGUUUAGGAGAAUACAUCCAUCAUGAAGUGCAUCUCGUGCAACAAGUUCAUUCCUAUCCGCAUUUGUACCGCAUCAUAAAUAAGUAUCCGCAGGGUAUUGGUUAUUAUUAUAUUAAAUUUUAUAAAAUUUAAAAUAAAAAAUAUAUUUUAUUAAUUAAUUAAUAUAAUAUAAAAUUUAUAUGAUACAAAAUAAAAUUAGAAAACAUAAAUAAUAAAAAAUAUUGUUUGUCAUUAAAUGAUUAUACAUUUUCAACAUAAUGAAUUGAAUGAUUAUAUAUAGUAAUCAAGAUUUUGUUUUGAAAAAAAUGUACUAAAUCAUUUAUAAAUAUUUGUCUCAAUUUUUAUAUAUUAAUUAAAGACAAAAGUUUGAUAUCGUGUUUUUUUUUUAUGAUUAUCGAUGAUAAAGUUGUUAAGGUUUUCUUUAGUAUUAUUCAGUGAAAAAUAAAUGACACUUAUUUUUAAUAUCCAUUCAAUAUAUGAAUUAUAAAUGUUAAUGGUUUUUUUGUGAGUGAUUUUUAAAAAAGUAUAAAAAGUUGAAGUAUGAAAAGUUAUAGUUAAUAUAUUAUAAUUAUAUUCAUUUUUAUGUUGAUGAUAUUAAUGUUUUUUUUUAAUUUUAACUAAUUUGUAAUCUCAAAGAAUAGUCUUGUGUAACAUUUUACAAUAAACUUUAAGUAUAAUCUAAUUAAUCAAUUUUUCAUUAAAAAGAUAGUUUAAUAUAAAAAAAUGUUAAAAUAAUUUAAAUGCAAAAAAAAUAUGUUUAGUGUAUUUAAUCAUUCUAAAAUGUUGGUGUAUUGUAUUUACUCAUAUUUUAAUGACAAUGAUAUUAAACAAAUAUUAAUUUAAAUAAUUUUUCAAUCAUAAAUAUUUACCUGUGAAUUUUAAUAAUAAACUAUAGUUAGUUUAUUAUAGUUAUUCUAAUUUUUAAUUGGAAAAUAAAAAAUUAUUUAAUUAAUUAGUGAUAAAAAAAUUCCACCUCAUUUAUAAAUUAUAUGUUUUAACUAUACUCUUUAGCGAUUUAUUGGGAGAAAAAUAUUAAAAAUAAUGAAUAGCAUAAAAGUUAUAAUAGAUGUUCUAACUAUAUUUUUUGUAAUAAGUUAUAAUUAAUAAAUUAUAUAUAUUGUUUUUAUAUCAUAUUUUAAAUUAAUUAAUUAAUAAUAAAUAAUCAUUCUAUAUAUUAACAAUACUCUUUAACGAUUAAUUAAAAAAUAUGAAAUUAAAAUAAUAAAUAAUAUAUAAAAAUAAAACUAUUCUUACAAAUGAACAUAGAUGUAACAAUUAUUUUAAUAUUAAAAUUGAAAGAAGAAAAAACACAUGUCGAUCAUUAGAAGAGGUUAAAAACAUACAUGUGAUAGUCAUUUGUUUAUAUAUAUAUAUAUAUAUAUAUAUUACUUUAAUGAUUUUUUUAUUAUUAAAUAAUCGAUAUAUUACAAAAUAUAUUUUGUUAUUCUGGAUAUCGAAACUAUCUAAUGUUGAUCUAAUGAUCUAUAUUUCAAUGUAUUUUAUGCAAUUUAGCACAAAGAUGAUCAAUUUUAUAACUUGAGAAAGUGAUAUAAAAUUUAGUUGUUGAAGCCAAGAUUAACAAAUACUGUAAAUAUUUCCUUUGUUCAAUAGUCAAACCAAUUCUCUUUCUAGUGAAAAUAUCACCUUCCUAUCAUGGGCCUAUAUGGCUUAGGCUUUUUUGGUUUAUAAUAGUAGUUAAAUUGAGCCUUAUCAAAGACAGAAUUGUCGAAAAUAUAUUUCAACUCAAAAUGAAAUAAAUAUUUUAUUAAAUAUUUAGCCUCAUAACAUAAAAACAAAAUGAGAUUUAUCAUAGAUAAUUAACUAACGUUUAUUAAAAUAUGUAAAAGCAAUUAUAGAUAAUCAAACAUAAGGAGAUUUAUCAUAGCACACUAGUGCGUUUAUUUUUAAUUUCCUAUACAGCAACAUACAACCAUAAACCAUCGAAAAUAAAUAUAUCUUCAACUUCAUUAUUAGUUGCAUAUACCAUUUUUAUCAUCACAAAUACUUUAUAACUAUUUGUUAUAGUUCGUUGUGGAUGCGUCAAAGUUCCCCUCAGUAUACCCUCCAUUGCCAUUACCAUGGAAAGUUCCACGGUUAUUUAUGGUACGGUUACCAUGAUUGUUGGUGGUGCGAUAUUUCUUUCGGUCCCCGGCAUUUGAACCGCUGUUGAUUUUGGCACCGGAGAAGUUUUGGUUCCCACCGCCAUGGUUGUUAAAUGCGUGAGCAGUACCGUGGUUGUUCGAUUUUGCAGCUUCGGCUUCUUCAGCCUCAAGCAUGGCGAUGAGGUUUUUGAGCACAUGAGAUGACAUUCUUAUGACCUUACUCGAAAAAUGCUAUGAAACCUUCAGUAUUUUUGUAUUUGGAUGGUGUUAAUGUUGCAACCAAAACAUUAUUAUAUAGAUGAAUGGAUAGGAAUAUGAUGCUUUUGCUUGUUUUUCACGCGAAAUUAGAUAGAACAUUGCAGCUUACUUUAUUAUAAUUUUAAGAAUUUUGCUUUUUUUUAUAAUAGCAAAAUAAAAUAUAAUAAAAAUAAAUGAGGAAUAAACUUCUCAAUAAAGCAUAUGCGAGGGGAUUUUAGAUAUAGCACAAAAUGUGCUCAGUUGAACACACUAAAAAAAACAAGGAUGCAUCAAACAAGAAAGCAACAAAAGUAUAUAAAAAAAAAGUAAAAAUUAAUAAGCAAUUCCAAAACUACACCGAAAAAAUAGCCAUAUACGUAUAAUUUUUAUUAACAAACAAAAAAAUCAUCAACAACGUACUAAAAAACAUACAAUAUUUCAACUUAUAAAAUGUUUCACAAUAUUUCAACUUAUAAAAUGUUUCACAAACGUAUUUUUUAUUGAAAAGAUUUGUGGAUGAUAAAGACGAAGAAAUGAACUAUUUGUCUCAGAAUGACAUCCAUAAUCAAAGGAGGGUGAAAUUGAAGUCAAAGCUACAAACUUGUAUUAAAUUUGAAUGGAUGUCAUUAUUGAUCUUUCAUAGCAACUUUCACUUUUACUUCAUCCUCCUUAAAUUUUUUCUUCAUAGUAUGGGAUUUCUUGAGAUAAUUUUUUUCAUUCUCCUUCCCUAUCUACAAAACAAAAUGAAUUAGCAUGAUACUCUAAUUAUAAAAGAUGCAAAAAGUUUACUUCUAAUCCAUACACGACUAUAAUCUAUAAACCAACAGUAUUGUCACUUUUAUAAUCUUCAUUAAUGCUUUCUUGAACAUACACUUCUAUAAUCUCCAUUAACAUUUUUUUUAACAAAUGACAUGUUAAUCAAAUUUGAAAACAUAAACUAUUGAUCCAACGGAAAAAAAAAACAUAAGCUUGUAAUGUAGUAAAUACCAUAAAAGAAGCUUCGGAUAAAUAAGAAGUCUUGUGAAGAUUAGCAUGUAACGCAACCAUUUCCUAAUAUAUGAUAAAGUUAAAUCACACUUCGUAACCUUUGAUGCAACAAAGAUAACCUUUCGAAGAAGAUGAAUUCGCUGCAUGUGGGUUUUCAAGGUCAAGGAAAAUAGGUUUGGUGUUUCCAUCUUGCUGUGAAGAAAUGGUGUGGAAACAUUAAUGGCGAUUAGGAUAAGGCGUAAGAAAGAUAUUAGGGUUUUACUUUAAAAAAGAUGAAUGUUAGUGUAAUAUCCAUCAUCCUCAAAGAGACACGUUGAAAUAUUGAUUAUGAAUGCAUUAAUCACAUCCUUAUUUAAUUGUUUUAAUUUGUUGUUGUCAUGUUUCAUGACACGAAUCUGCAGAGUCCUCCAAGACAAUUACUACUGCAGAUGUCAAUCAGUUUGUCGACGAUAUUAAGAAUAAGCGCCCGCGUAUAAAGUGAUGAAGAAGAUGGACAAUUCAACAAAGUGAUGAAGAAGAUGGACUAGAAGACAAGAUCAAAUGUCAGGAACAAGUCAUUCGACAUCAACAAAAAUCAGGAAUUUGGGAGAAGGCCCAAAACUGAAGAAAAAACUAACCAAGCAAAAGGAAUCCAAUGUCAUGGAUGUGAAGGGUUUGGACACAUAAGAUUUGAGUGCCCCACUUAUCUCAAGAAUCGGAAGAAGGGUCUGUCUGUGUCAUGGUCAGAAGAUGAUUCUGAAAGUGAUCCUGAAGUGGAGCCCGCCAAACAGGUUACUGCCUUGACUGGUAUUUGUGAUUCUGAUGAAGAAUCAGAUUGUGAGGAACUCACUUUUGAGUAACUUGUAGAGUCUUACAAGGAGUUGUGCCUCAGAAAUGAAGAAGUAUGUCAAUUGGGAGAAGAUCAAAAGAAAGUUAUUGCUCAACUACAGGCUGAAAAAGUGGAACAUCUAUCUAUCAUCUCUGAUUUGAAGGAUGAAGUUGUUAUGCUCAAUUCAAGACUUAACAAUAUGACUAAGUAUGUAAGAAUGCUUAACAGUAGCUCUGAUGUGCUGGAUGAGAUUCUUCAAACUGGUAAGAAUGUUGGAAAUGUUCAAGGUCUUGUAAUGAUAAUCAAGGAUGAACAAAGGAAAAGGGUCUGCAAUGAAUUUUCUUCAACCUAAAAGAAAACAGGAUGAAAAUAUGUCAAAUCAGACGUCCCAACAUCAAUAAAGACAUCAGGAUGAUUACUCAGGAAGCAAGACCCAACGAUGGAAAUGUCAUCAUUGUGGGAGGUUUGGUCACAUAAAGCCCUAUUGCUACAAACUAUAUGGCUAUCCCAAACCUCAGACUAUUGUUAAAGCAAAGAAAAAGUGGAUUCCCAGAAAUGACACUUCUAGACUCAUAUAUCACACCUCCCUCAGAGCCUCUGCUAGAGAGAAUUGGUAUUUCGAUAGUGGUUGUUAUAGACACAUGAUUGGUGUCAAUAAAUUCUUGGUGGAUAUUAAAUUAUAUUCCACUGGCUAUGUCACCUUUGGAGAUGGAUCAAAAGGUGAAAUAAAGGGUGUUGGAAAGUUGGACUAUCCUGGACUGCCUAGUGUUGAUGAUGUACUGUUUGUUAAAGGGAUGACUGCUAGUUUGAUAAGUAUUAGUCAACUAUGUGACCAAGGUCUCAAAGUUAACUUUAGUAAAUCUGAAUGCAGGGUAAUAAAUUAGAAGAAUGUAGUUAUCAUGAAGGGAGCCAGAUCUAAAGAUAACUGAUAUCUAUGGACUCCUCAAGAAACAAUUUUUUUCUCCGCAUGCUUAAUGUCAAAAGAAGAUGAGGCUAAGAUAUGGCAUCCAAAGCUUGGUUACUUACAUCUGAAAGGGGUGAAGAAAGUUCUGCCAAAAGAUGCAUUCAGACGUAUUCCCAAGCUGAAUAUUGAUGAAGGAAGAAUCUCUGGUGAAUGUCAAAUUGGAAAGAAAACAAAGGUGUCACAUAAGAACCUCCAAUAUCUGACCACUUCAAAAGUUCUGGAGCUAAUUCAUAUGGACUUGAUGGGACCUAUACAGGUUGAAAGUCUUGGAGGAAAGAGAUAUGCCUAUGUUGUUAUUGAUGACUUCUCAAGGUUCACCUGGGUGAAUUUCAUCAAAGAGAAGUCUGAAGUGUUUUAAGUAUUUAAAGAACUUUGUCAAAAGAUUCAAAGAGAGAAGGAUUGUGGUAUUGUCAGAAUUAGAAGUGACCAUGGAAAGGAAUUUGAGAAUAGCAAGUUUGAUGAAUUCUGCACUUCUGAAGGGAUUAGUCAUGAGUUCUCUUCACCCAUCACCCCUUAACAGAAUGGUGUGGUUGAGCGCAAGAAUGGGACUAUUCAAGAAUGUGCCAUGGUCAUGCUUCGUGCUACGAAACUACCAUAUCAUUUUUGGGCUAAAGCCAUGAACAUUGUUUGUUAUAUCCUUAAUAGAUUGACUAUCAGAUCUGGUUUUUCUUCUACACUUUAUGAACCGUGGAAAGGAAGAAAGUGAACUGUGAAAUAUUUACAUGUAUUUGGAAGUAGAUGUUAUAUUCUGGAAGAUCGUGAGCAGAAGGGAAAAAUGGAUCCUAAAAGUGAUUAGGGAAUUUUUCUAGGAUAUUCUACAAACAGUAUAGCAUACAGAGUAUUCAACUCUAGAACCAAGGUGAUGAUGGAAUCCAUAAACAUAUUUGUGGAUGACUCAACUAAAGAAGAUGAUGUCACAUAUGAAGUUGAAACAUCUAUGAAUGAUGUUCCUGAAGAUGUUGCAGACUCAAGUACUAAUAUUGAACCUGCAGAGACUGAGUCAACUGACAAUGGACCUUCCAUCAGAAUUCAGAAAGAUCAUCCUAAGGAGCUUAUAAUAGGAAAUCUAAAUGAAAGGAUAAUUACCAGAUCAAGGGAAGUUAUGUCAAAUGCUUAUUUUGUUUCUAAAUUUGAACCCAAGAAUACCAAGGAGGCCUUGAUUGAUGAGUUUUGGAUUAAUGCUAUGCAAGAUGAACUCGGCCAAUUCAAAAGAAAUGAGGUUUGGGAUUUGGUACCAAGACCUGAAGGGACAAAUGUUAUUGGUACCAGAUGGUUGUACAAGAACAAGUCAGGUGAACAAGGGGUUGUUACCAGAAACAAAGCCAAACUUGUUCCUCAAGGAUACACUCAAAUGGAAGGAGUGGACUUUGAUGAAACAUUUGCUCAUGUGGCUCGCUUGGAGUCUAUAAGAUUGCUACUUGGAAUGGCAUGCCUUUUAAAGUUCAAGUUGUUAUAAAUGGAUGUUAAAAGUGCCUUUUUAAAUGGGUAUUUAAAUGAAGAUGUGUAUGUUGAAGAACCAAAAGGAUUUUUUGAUCCUACUUUCCUAAAUCAUGUGCUCAAACUAAAGAAGGCAUUGUAUGGUUUAAAACAAGCUCCAAGAGCAUGGUAUGAAAGGUUGACUGAGUUUCUCAUCAACCAUGGAUAUAGGAAGGGUGGAAUUGAUAUGACUCUCUUUGUCAAAGAGAAGGAUGGAAAACUUAUGAUUGCCCAGAUUUAUGUGGAUGAUAUUGUAGUUUGAGGGAUGUCAUAUGAUAUGGUCCAGCAUUUUGUCAAGCAAAUGCAAUCUGAGUUUGAAAUGAGUUUGGUAGGUGAAUUAACUUACUUUCUUGGACUCCAAGUCAAACAGAUGGAAGACUCCAUUUUUCUUUGUCAAAGCAAAUAUGCAGAGAAUAUUGUGAAGAAAUUUGGAUUGGAGAAUGCUAGUCACAAAAGAACUCUUACUCCUACUCACUUGAAGUUAUCCAAAGAUAAAAAGGGUGUAAAUGUUGAUCAGAGUUUAUAUAGAAGCAUGAUUGGUAGUCUUCUAUACCUUACAGCAAGCAGACCAGAUAUAACUUUUGUUGUUGGAGUUUGUGCUAGAUAUCAAACAGAACCCAAAGUAAGUCAUAUCAAUCAAGAAAAAAGGAUUCUGAAGUAUGUGAAUGGCACAUGUGAGUAUGAAAUGUUGUAUUCUCAUGAUUAAAAUUCCAUGUUAGUAUGGUAUUGUGAUGCUGAUUGGGAUGGUAGUGCGAAUGACAUGAGGAGUACCUCCAAAGGAUGUUUCUUUUUGGGAAACAAUUUGAUUUCAGGGUUCAGCAAGAAACAUAAUUGUGCAUCCCUAUCUACUGCUAAAGUUGAGUACAUAGCAGUAGGUAGCAGCUGCUCUCAACUAAUGUGGAUGAAACAAAUAAUGACUGAAUAUAAUGUUAUACAGGAUGUCAUGACAUUAUUCUUUGACAACUUGAGUGCUAUUAAUAUCUCCAAAAACCCUAUUCAACAUAGUAGGACUAAACAUAUUGACAUCAGACAUCAUUUUAUUAGAGAACUUGUUGAAGACAAAGUCAUAACACUUAAGCACGUUAGCACUGGAAAUUGGCUUGCUGACAUUUUUACCAAAGCCUUGGAUGUAGUUCAGUUUAAAAAAUUAAGAGGAAAACUUGGGAUUUGUGUUAAUGAGCACUUAUAGCAACUACAACUAUUUAAGUGUGUCAGACAGGUUUUUAACUAUCAUCAUUACACAAGACACGCUUCUCUAAACGCAUUACUCCACUAUGUAUCAUUUUGGAAAAAAAAUACGCUACCCAUUUUAUUCAAACAUUUCAUUCCCCUCCAGAAAUCUAUGCUCACCUUCUAUCAAGUGUCUUUCCCAAUUCCAUCUGUAUCAAGUGUUACCUAAGAUGUCAAAACAAUCUUCACCCAAGCACAUGCAUGUCUCAACUGAAACUAGUGGAUCAUCAUCCCCAAUUGCUAGGGAAGAUGAACCAUUUCAAAUGAUCAAUCUGUCUGAAAUUGUCUUUGAUGUUGCUCCCUGUUGGUUGUAAUUUUAAGUGUCGGGUUUUUGUUAUCGUAUCCACAGGGAUUGUAAGAUAUCACCGCUGUUCGAUGGUUGUAUUAAUCUUAGCUUAAGUAACACAGGGGGUUUUGGUUUUAAUCACGUUAUCUUGCAUAAAAAGGUAAUACAAUGCGGUAAAAGUUUGAUUUGAAUAUUUGAGAAAUAUUGUCCCAAAGUUAAGGGUUCAACACAAUCGCUUUGCAUGUUUUUGUUCGGUCAACAAUAUUAAUAAAUCCUCUUUAGAUGAUAAUUAUUCACAAAUCCUCCCAAUGUGUUUCUCUCGAACACCACAUAUGUGAGUUUUCCCAUUUUGAUCGAUUGUUUAUCUCAUAACACACCUAUCAAAAUGACAACUUUUUGGUUCAACCUAUUGGUGAACAAAUCAUUCAUUACUAAUCUCUAGCAACAAACAAGAUUGGAUGAACCUAGGUUAAGAGUUUGUAAACAUCUCUCGAUCAAUAACCAACACAAAGAGUUUUGAAUAAGAACAAAGUUUUCAUCAUAUAUUCACCAUUAAAGAGUUUACACAUGAAGAUCCUUACAUUUACACACAAAGUUAAUGAUCAUAUACAUCUAACCUUGACAAAUGGAGGACUUAGCUACUCAUUUUCAUGGUAGCUUGUCGGCAAGUUUCGGAAGAAGGUUGAUCAACACCGAGUCGAAUAAUCGGAGAUUGGAUGAGAAUCCACCUUCUUUUUUUGUAAAAGAUGGUUAAGAGAUGAAAGGAAAUGAAAUUUAGGCACAAAAGAUUCCAAGAACAAAUGCCGUUUAAAAUAGCUUUAGAAAAACGUUGUAAAAUAUGCGAAAACUAGGUAUGGCCUUCUCAAAGUGGCAUUGCUACUUAUAGCAGCUGUACUGCGCUGUCACGCUCAGCUUAGGCGAGCAGAGUGGCUCGCCUAGCGAGGGUCUAAUGAUGAGGCCACAGAGCAGGCCACCUGCGCGCCGAGAGAACACACGUCUAUCUCAGACUGUUCAUGUUUGCCCUAUGCGAACAAACCUUCGCCUAGCGAAGGACACGCUUCAACCUUCGCCCAGCGAAGGUUGAGAGGUUUUUGCUACUGAAUGCUGCGCUGGGGACCGCUAGAGCCUCGCCUAGCGAGUGAGUGCUGGCUGCGCUUUUCACCAAAAACUGAACGAAACUCGUUCCACCUUGCAAAAAAAAAAUAUAGCGCUCCGCCUAGCGAAUUUAUUGACAUUUUUAACUGGAGCUUUUCGCUGGGCGCGCGCACUAGCGAGUGCUUCGCCACAAGCCCAUCUGCCUAGCGAGCAGGCUGAUGAAUGCUUGUUUUAUCUUGAUCCCUUUGCCAAAUUUCUUGUGUCCUCACUUCUAAUUAUUUCAUCCUACUUCCUGCACAAUAACACACAAAUCCAAAGUACCAAGAUCGUUAUUAUCGUUUUAAAUUGCAUUUCCAUCUGAAACAAGGUGGUUUCGACAUUUUAGCAGGACAAUAGAGUGAAAGAAUGCCCCUAUGAUAGCCUAAAUAAAGCAAACUUUUGGGCAUCUAAACAACUCUCCCCAACUAGAUCUUGCUUGUCCUCAAGCAAAGUAGCCCUUGAAGGACAAGAAGGAUAUUUGCUUUAAAGAAAAAAAGGUUUCUCCGAGUUGGAAUAAAACGGCUCAAACACAAGCGAAUCAGCAUAUACAAGUUUUUCCAACGGUUCGAAUAAAAUAUACACAAAAGAAACUAAAACUUAAUAAGCUAUGCGAAAUAUUUACUAUCUACAACAAUAAAUAUUCUGAAUGAAUCACGCCAUAUUUCUCCUCUUCGAAUAAAGGAAUGAAGAAAUUUUUACGCCGUUUGCUAACCGCGGGAAUAAUCUCAACCUCUUAACAAAUAAUGAAGAAAAUCAAUUCGAUUCAUGCAAUUGUCUAAAAUUAUAAAAUGGUAAUGUGGAAGCAACGAAGAUCACUAGGGCUUUUCCGGUUGAAGCUUGGUCAGGUUUAAAACAAACAAAGGGUCAAUUUCUAGGCCAUGGAAAAACCGAAAUUGCCGAUGCCAAAAAGAGUACAUUCACUGUACACCAUAUCACACAUCUCGACUUCGUUCCAAUUUGUUUCUUUAUUGAAACCUUCCACAACUCUUAUUUGACAACUCAAUUUUAUUUUUCACUAUUUUUCUUCCAAAGCAAGCAUUUUAUUUCAUUCUUUCUAUUUUGUUUUUUUUCUUUCACUGCAUAUUUACAAAACAGAUGUUUCUUUUCCUAUAUUUUAUUUCAAAUGCUUGCCUUGGUUUUAUCAUUUUUUUUUUCAAAGAGUUGUGGAACCUAUACGCGGAUUCUCCCCCAACUUAAUUUCUUACUCACCCUAAGUGAAUGCUUUAAUUUUUAACGGCCAAAAGAACUAAUAAUCAAGAUUUUCGCGGGUUGGUAAACAAAAAGAUUUUUUGAAUCUCGCUUAUUUCAAGCAGAGAUUCAAGCUGUUAAGCUCAAAGGGGUUUAACGAAUAACUCUCUCUGCUCACAGGUAAGUUGUUUCUUUGGAUGUUGUUAUGGCUCGAAUAAGAACAAGUGCCUUGAUCAUUCUAAAUUACAUUCCGCACAUAUUCAAAAAUAAUAAAAGAACAAGGCAUGAUCAAAUGAAAUCAACAAAACUUAUGAAUCCAGCAUUAAGUUGGUAGCAAUGGAGGUUUCCAUCACAAUUUUGGUUUUACAGUCCUAGAUGAAAAACAUUCCAUUCAAUAUGUUGCAAAAAGAAAAAAUAUUCAAUUUACCAAAAAGAGUAAAGUUUCUUAAUGACAUUCUAAAAAUUCUAGCCGGAGGUAACCAUGUUACCUUAGCCUCAUUCACUGUUGUUUAUUCUUAUCAAUUUGCCAUCCUAAGCUCGGAUGCACCUUUCAUCUGGGUUUACUUUCUUAUGAGGAGCAACCCAAUCUUAGAAGGUUUGCCACUCAAUCAACCCCAAAAAGUUAUUAAACAAACAAAUUAAAAACAUAAAUAAAUACAACAUUUGAAAAAUUAAAUUUGUUCAUGGGGGACAAAACACCCCAAAUAGUACAAAACAAAUCAAAUACACGAAUGCAAAUACAAUAGAAAUAAACAUAAAAACUGAAAAAAUACAAAACCUAAACCUCUACAGGGCAUCAGACAAUCCUCCUCGCUAACGCGGACCUCAGAACCGUAGCCUCUCAUCCUCAGCAUCAUCAUCAAUGCCAUCAGCUGCAGCAAGCAACCCGAAGACGCACCAGCGCCCGCCCCCUCACCAUAGCACAGGCCUGUCCCAGGCCAGUUGGCGUUAAGCAGAAAACUGCUCCACCGCGUCCAUCAAGCAUGAGCACCACUUCCCUGCAGCUGUAACCGCUGCAUAGAGUCGUGCAUAUCUAUCAUGGCACGCUGGGAUGCCGCCAUCCAUUCAAAACUGAAAUCACACACAGCCUGCAGGUAAGGAUCUGGCCCAGGAGUAGAAGUACCAGGACCAUCAAAAGCCCGGGUACUCUCUGCAGCUGCACUGCCUCUGGCAUUCUUCGCUCUACAAUAUUUGGCCACGUACCGGUCAUCGAUAGGUGGCGGGAUUCUGACCUGACCCCGAGACGAUAAUUUCACCUUUGCCUGAAUGCACAAACGCAUGAUCAAGCACGGGAAAGCUAGGGGACAAUUCACACGAGCCCCCGACUUUAGCCCGCUCUCAAUCACUGACUUAAGCUCAUUAGCGAUGAUCCUCGCCACAUCGAUCUGGACGUUGGAGAGGAUACUGUGAACCAAAUGUGCCACUGGGAUCGGCACUAUAGAGGUGUGGGACUUUGGCUGGAUGUUUGUCAGAACCAAAAGCAGAAUCAGUUGAGCCAAGGGAGUCAUGUCCUCCCUAAAAUUCUCCCCGGCAACGGCGCCAUUUUGUUGGUUGUAAUUUUAAGUGUCGGGUUUUUGUUAUCGUAUCCACAGGGAUUGUAAGAUAUCACCGCCGUUCGAUGGUUGUAUUAAUCUUAGCUUAAGUAACACAGGGGGUUUUGGUUUUAAUCACGUUAUCUUGCAUAAAAAGGUAAUACAAUGCGGUAAAAGUUUGAUUUGAAUAUUUGAGAAAUAUUGCCAAAGUUAGGGUUCAACGAUCACUUUGCAUGUAUUUGUUCGGUCAACAAUCUUAUAAACUCCUUUAGAUGAUAAAUUAUUUCACAAAGUCCUCCCAAUGUGUUUCUCUCGAACACACAUUGUGAGUUUUCCCAUUUUGAUCGAUUGUUUAUCUCUAACACAACCUAUCAAAAUGACAACUUUUUGGUUCAACCUUAUGGUGAACAAAAUCAUUCAUUACUAUCUCUAGCUAACAAACAAGAUUGGAUGAAAACCUAGGUUAAGAGUUGGUAAACAUCUCUCGAUCAUAAACCAACACAAAGAGUUUUNNNNNNNNNNNNNNNNNNNNNNNNNNNNNNNNNNNNNNNNNNNNNNNNNNNNNNNNNNNNNNNNNNNNNNNNNNNNNNNNNNNNNNNNNNNNNNNNNNNNNNNNNNNNNNNNNNNNNNNNNNNNNNNNNNNNNNNNNNNNNNNNNNNNNNNNNNNNNNNNNNNNNNNNNNNNNNNNNNNNNNNNNNNNNNNNNNNNNNNNNNNNNNNNNNNNNNNNNNNNNNNNNNNNNNNNNNNNNNNNNNNNNNNNNNNNNNNNNNNNNNNNNNNNNNNNNNNNNNNNNNNNNNNNNNNNNNNNNNNNNNNNNNNNNNNNNNNNNNNNNNNNNNNNNNNNNNNNNNNNNNNNNNNNNNNNNNNNNNNNNNNNNNNNNNNNNNNNNNNNNNNNNNNNNNNNNNNNNNNNNNNNNNNNNNNNNNNNNNNNNNNNNNNNNNNNNNNNNNNNNNNNNNNNNNNNNNNNNNNNNNNNNNNNNNNNNNNNNNNNNNNNNNNNNNNNNNNNNNNNNNNNNNNNNNNNNNNNNNNNNNNNNNNNNNNNNNNNNNNNNNNNNNNNNNNNNNNNNNNNNNNNNNNNNNNNNNNNNNNNNNNNNNNNNNNNNNNNNNNNNNNNNNNNNNNNNNNNNNNNNNNNNNNNNNNNNNNNNNNNNNNNNNNNNNNNNNNNNNNNNNNNNNNNNNNNNNNNNNNNNNNNNNNNNNNNNNNNNNNNNNNNNNNNNNNNNNNNNNNNNNNNNNNNNNNNNNNNNNNNNNNNNNNNNNNNNNNNNNNNNNNNNNNNNNNNNNNNNNNNNNNNNNNNNNNNNNNNNNNNNNNNNNNNNNNNNNNNNNNNNNNNNNNNNNNNNNNNNNNNNNNNNNNNNNNNNNNNNNNNNNNNNNNNNNNNNNNNNNNNNNNNNNNNNNNNNNNNNNNNNNNNNNNNNNNNNNNNNNNNNNNNNNNNNNNNNNNNNNNNNNNNNNNNNNNNNNNNNNNNNNNNNNNNNNNNNNNNNNNNNNNNNNNNNNNNNNNNNNNNNNNNNNNNNNNNNNNNNNNNNNNNNNNNNNNNNNNNNNNNNNNNNNNNNNNNNNNNNNNNNNNNNNNNNNNNNNNNNNNNNNNNNNNNNNNNNNNNNNNNNNNNNNNNNNNNNNNNNNNNNNNNNNNNNNNNNNNNNNNNNNNNNNNNNNNNNNNNNNNNNNNNNNNNNNNNNNNNNNNNNNNNNNNNNNNNNNNNNNNNNNNNNNNNNNNNNNNNNNNNNNNNNNNNNNNNNNNNNNNNNNNNNNNNNNNNNNNNNNNNNNNNNNNNNNNNNNNNNNNNNNNNNNNNNNNNNNNNNNNNNNNNNNNNNNNNNNNNNNNNNNNNNNNNNNNNNNNNNNNNNNNNNNNNNNNNNNNNNNNNNNNNNNNNNNNNNNNNNNNNNNNNNNNNNNNNNNNNNNNNNNNNNNNNNNNNNNNNNNNNNNNNNNNNNNNNNNNNNNNNNNNNNNNNNNNNNNNNNNNNNNNNNNNNNNNNNNNNNNNNNNNNNNNNNNNNNNNNNNNNNNNNNNNNNNNNNNNNNNNNNNNNNNNNNNNNNNNNNNNNNNNNNNNNNNNNNNNNNNNNNNNNNNNNNNNNNNNNNNNNNNNNNNNNNNNNNNNNNNNNNNNNNNNNNNNNNNNNNNNNNNNNNNNNNNNNNNNNNNNNNNNNNNNNNNNNNNNNNNNNNNNNNNNNNNNNNNNNNNNNNNNNNNCUAGCGAGCAGGCUGAUGAAUGCUUGUUUUACUUGAUCCCUUUGCCAAAUUUCUUGUGUCUUCACUUUCUAUUAUUUCAUGCCUACUUCCUGCACAAUAACACACAAAUCAAAGGUACCAAGAUCGUUUAUCAUUUAAUUGCAUUUCAUCUGAAACAAAGGUGGUUUCGACAUUUUAGCAAGGACAUAGAGUGAAAGAUGCCCACAUAUGAUAGCUCAAAUAAGCACUUUUGGGCAUAUAACACUCCCUUAUCCAUGAUUCAUCCACCCCUCAGAAGAAAGCAGCGCCUUCUGUUUCAAAGAAUGUCAAGACUUCUAGUAAGUAUUAUGUUUUUGAGCCUACAAUCUCUAGUGAAGAUAAGAAUGUUGUUGAAGAGGGGUUUAGGUCUAAAGGUUCUGAGAUGAGAAACCCUACUAAGCAUACUGGAGUCACUGAGAAUCAAACUGAAGCGGAAAGUAGUGCCAUUGAUAAGAAACUUCAGAAGUUUAUCACCUUUGUGCUAAAGGAAGUGAACUCAGAUGUUUUGUCAGAUGUUCAAACAUCUUUGGAAAAAGAAACUAGCCCUGAUAGUGAUUCUAGUGAAAAAGAUGAGGAAAGCGUCCCUGAGCAAACUGCUCAUAAAAGAAGGAGUAAGAAGAAGGUUGAUGAAUGUGUCCCUGAGCAAGCUGCUCAUGAAAUAAGAAAUAAAAAGAAAGUUGAUCAUGUUGUCAAUGUUGACGACCUAACAUCUGACGAGGAACCUCUUACCAACAUCGUGACUCCUGGUAUAGCCAAGAGACUUCAGAGAAGAAAGUGAAAGGUUGUGGUGUUUGAAUAUUCUCCCUCUAAGGAGAUAAAAAGAAAAUCUGGUGGUAUGAAAAGCACUCCCUUUAGAAGUUCCAUCGGAAAAUCUCCUGUUGGUCUUGCUAGUUGAUGGAGUAAAGUUGUUACUCAUACUAGGAAGAAUAAAGCCAUCUCGUCUAGUGAUUCCGAGUUUGAGGUCGAGGAGGAUGUCCAUGACAUCAUGCCUAUAAGAAGAUCUGCUACAAAGAAGCCUCAUGUUGGUGUGCUCGAGGCUCUACUGGACAAUCUGUCUUUACAUUAUGUAAAGAAUGCUGAAAGAUGGAAGUAUGUUAUUCAAAGGAGGGUAGCUUUGGAGAGGGAAUUAGGUAAGGAUGCCCUAAAAUAUAAGAAGGUUGUGGAGCUUAGAGAGACUGCUGGUUUGAUGAAGACUGUCACAAAUUUUGGUCCUUAUUAUGAAAGUCUGGUCAAGGAGUUUGUGGGGGCAAUUCCUGAUGGGUGUGAUGAUGUGAAGAAUGCAGACUGUAGGAAGGUGUAUGUUAGAGGAAAUGUCGUGACAUUUUCUCUUGCUAUCAUCAACAAGUUUCUGGGAAGAACUGAAGAACCUCAAGUUGAGCUAGAGGUUAGUGUGUAAGGAGAUAACUACCAAGCAGGUAAAACAUUGACCAAACAUAGGAAAGUUGUUUGUUGGGAAGCUGAGUCUCAAGUAUGCAAUCCUUCAUAGGAUUGGGACUGUCAACUGAGUGCCUACUAAUCACACCUCAACCAUCUCUACUGGGCUUGGGAAGUUUAUAUAUGCUAUUGGGACAAGAAGAGCUUUUGAUUUUGAAAAGUACAUUUUUGAACAAGUUUUGAAGUAAGUCUUCUCAACUGCGGUAAAGAUUAAUUCCACCAUUAAAAAAUGUCAUAAAAAUUAAAUAAUAAAUAUAAUAAAUAAGUAAAAAAAUUCUUAUUAACAUUAUUAUUAAAAAUUAAAAAAUACAUAUGAAUAUUAAUUAUAUUAUUUUAUUUCUAAAUAUUUAAAAAAUUAGUACAUAUAAUUUUUAUCCCAAAAUUUAAUAGUACAUAAUAAAAUUUUACAAAAAUAAAAUAUUUUUUAUUUAUAAAUACUUUAGUAAAGGCUUGUAUUAUCAUUAUUAUUAACAUUUAUAUUAUUUAAAAAACAUUAAAUUCAUGAAAUAAUGACAUUAAAUAUAAUAGAUUGUUUUUUAGAUCAUGAAAAAAAUCAAAGAAUGAUUGGAUUUGAGUUACACAUUAUGGUGAAUAAUAUAAUAAAAUUUUAUACUGGAUUAAGGUUGAUUAUAACUCACAACUCAUAUUGCUUAAAAAUCAUUGAUAUGCUUGUUUACUUACAUAUUACAUAAUUGACUAAGUCAAUUUUAUCAUAAUAAAAAAUUAAUUGGAUUUUAAUUGCAUUAUAAUUUAAAUAAUAUUCAUUUAUUUUUAUGACAAUCAUAUUUUACACGUUUAAUAAUUCAUUUUAUAAUAAUUAAUAAUUAAUUGAAUAAUUAAAUUAUAUUCAAUCAAAUAUAUAUAUAUAUAUAUAUAUAUAUAUAUAUAUAUACUAUAUAUAUAUAUAUAUAUAUAUAUAUAUUAUUUAUUAUUAGGAGAAUUAAAUUUACGUCUUUAAAAACCAGAGGCAUGUGAAAUAUGUAUAAUAUAUUAUGUAUAUUAAUCAUUAUUUCAAAUAUUAAUAAGAUUAAAUAUUUUCCAUUUAUAUACAUAUAAAUUGAAACAAAUAUUAUAAUAAAAAAUAUUCACAAUCAAUAUUUAUUAAAAUUCAUCAUCACCAUUUAACAUAUAUUUUCGCUAUAUUAAGAUUGCUACCUAUAAAGUAAAAUAUUAAAAUAAAAUUCAUUUGAAUCAUAAAAAAAUAAUACACUCUCUAUAAAACAGAAUGUUUAUUUCUGAUACUAAUACCGGACCUUUAUAAAAUAUUUAAAAUAAACUAUAUUUAAAACUCUUUAUAAUUUGAUUAAAAAAACAUGUUCAUAAUUAAAUUCAAUAAAGAAAAUAAAAAAUAUUUAAAUUUUGUAUUAUUACUGAAAAUUGAAAAAUACAUAUGAAUAAUAAAUAUGUUAUUUUAUUUCACUUGAACAUUAAAUUUUUUUAUAAAUACUUUAAUAAAGAUGUAUAUUAUUAUUAUAAAUAUUAAUAAUAUUUUAAAAUAUAUAUAUAACACAUAAACUAAUGACAAUAAAUAAAAUAAAAUAAUUUUUAAAUCAUGAAAGAUAAUAUAUGAAUGGAUGGACUUGAGUUACAUAGAUAUUUCAUUAUUGACUAUUUCUAUUUUAUUAUAAUUAAGAAUUAAUUGGAUUCAAUCUAAUAUUUUGUUGUUACCCGUUGCAUAAAAUAUUCAUUUAUUAUUAUCGCCAUUACAUUCAUUUAGUGUUUAAAAACUAUAAAAAUAGGAAAACAUGCACCCCGCCGUCUUAAGAAAAGUCAUAGGAACACAUUGUCCUAUAUAAACAACAAUAUGUUAAUUUUUUUAAUAUCACGUCAUAAAACCUAUCAUAUUCACUAUAUAUCCACAUUAAAAGACAAUCAUUAACACCGAUCAUGAUGAUUUAUUAAUUCAAGUCAGAAUAGUUCGAUUGUGGGUUUUUAUAAUCUGCUAAAUAAUGAAGAACAAACAUUCGUAGAAAUAAUUUUGUUAGAUGAAUAAGUAUUUACUCUUUAUCCAAAAUAUUGUGUUUGUUGUUCAAAAAAUCUAUCUAUUUAUAUAUAUUAAAUCCAAUGCAUCAAACUAUUUUACGACACCUUAUAAUAAUUUCUUCAAAAAUAAUCCAUAUCAUCCUAUUAGCUUAAUGUAUACAAUUUUUAUUAAACCACCAAUCAAAACACUACCAUCUUCCAACACCCCAUCUUAAAAGUCACAUAAAUGAUUGUUCUUGCAAAGUUGAUUUUAAAUUUCUCUUAUUACUGUUUCUCAAUUUUGAAUUAUGAUUGCAUCAUUAGGUAUCUGUGUGGUUGGUCUUGCAUAAUUAUAUUUUGAAUUUUUCCUAUCACAAUUAGAUUUUCUGGUUCCUACGGAUUCUAUUUUGGAUUUCUCCAUUUCGAUUUGAUUAUGAAAUGGUUCAAAAUCUUCAUACAAGAACAAUGUUGAAGAAUAAACAAAUUUGUUGCAACAUUAUCGAUCCAUCUUCUUUCAUUUCAGGUAAUUUCAUCAAACAAUGUCUACAAAAUAAACUUAAAAUUCAUAUAUGUUGAUUUCAUUUGGAAAAUUCUUGUAUUUCUUCUCUUAACCUCAAUAGUUAAUGUCUGCGGAAAAUUUGGUUUGAAAUGGAUUAUAAUUGAUUUAUCACUAUUAACACUUUCUAAUACUUCAAUUCUUACAAUUCUAUAGUUGAAAAAUAUGUAUAAUAACGAAGUUGUUGUUCUUUUAGCUCAGAUGGUUUUCUUGUAGAGUCUUAUUAUUUUCUUGCAUUGUAUGACUUGGUACAAUUAAAUUUUGUUUUCUUUAUGAAUUUGAUGUUGCCAAGAACAUGCUAUCAGCACCUUACAUUCUUCGACUCUUUCCAUACAAAAGUCUCAUUUUCCCCUUCCCUAAUUCUCCAAUACCAAAACCCCCUUUUCCCCUUCCCUAAUUCUCCAAUACGAGAAAAACAUCACAUAAAUGACUGUUCUUGCAAAGUUGAUUUUGGAUUUCUCUUAUUACGGUUUCUCGACUUUGAAUUAUAAUCGCAUCAUUAGAUAUUUGCGUGGUUGGUCUUGCAUAAUUAUAUUUUGAAUUUUUCCUAUCACAAUUAGACUUUCUCCUUUCUACCCUUACCGAUAUAUAUAUUUAAUAACAUUGUAUGGGUAUAAAAAAGUAACUAAGAUAAAUAUUAGCUAAAACAAAUAUUGCUAUAGAAUUUAUUCAUAAUCAAUAUUUAUUAAAAUUAGUCUACCACUAUUUAAUUUGAAUAAAAAAUAAUAAUUUUUUCUGUUAUAAAAUUAAAGUUUAUUUGUCCCUAAUAAUAGAACAUGAUCAACUAUUUUUAAGACCAAAAACAUUAGAAAUUAUUGUAAAAAGUAAUUGAAAAUAUUAAUGUCAUAAAAAUUAAUGCCAUCAUUAAAAAAAUGAAUGUUGAUAAAAUAUUUACAAUAAAUUAUAUUUAAAGCUAUUUCCAAUUAAGUGAAAUAAUGAUUAUAUAAUAAAUAUUUAAGAAUUGUAUUAUUAACAUUAUUACUUAAAAACUAUUUGAAUUCUAUUACAUUAAACUUUUGACUAUCUAUUUGUAAUUUUAGUUAAUUAUUAUUUUUUAUUACAAAACAAUAACAUCACAUCAAAACUACAACUAUUUAUUUAAUAAUAAUAAUAAAAAAAUUAAUAAUUUCAUUUGUAAACUAAAUUGAAAUAUUUAUUACCAAUAAAAAAUUAAUAAAAAUUUUAAUUAUAAUUUUAAUGAAACAAUUACACUAUACUUCCUUUUAACCAUUAAUAUUAUCAUUUUAAUAUACUAUAUUAUUUAUCAAAAAACAUACAAAUAAAAUAUUAUUUAUGGACACAAAAAGGUUAUAAAUGAUUGUAAAAAUAUUAUUGAAAAAAAUAAUAUCAUAAAAAUUAAUUCCAACAUUAAAAAUGUCAUAAAAAUUAAAUAAAAUAUAUAAUAAAUAAUUAAAAUUUUCCAUAUUAAGGUUAUUAUUGAAAAUUGAAAAAUACUUAUUCAUAAUAAAUAUAUUAUUUUAUUUCUAAACAUUUAAAAAAUUAAUACAUAUAAUUUUUUAUCCCAAAAUUUAAUAGCACAUAAUAAAAUUUUACAAAAAUAAUGUUUUUUAUAAAUGCUUUACCAUAAAAAAUAUUCAUAAUCAAUAUUAUUAAGAUUCAUCAUCACAUUUAACAUAUAUUUUAGCUAUAUUAAGAUUGCUACCUAUUAACUAAAAUAUAAAAAUAAAAUUUAUUUGAAUCAUACAAAAGUAAUUUACUCUCUAUAAAAAGAAUGCUUAGUUGUGAUACUAAUAAAACAACCCGAACCUUUAUAAAAUAUUUACAAAAUAUUUACAAUAAACUAUAUUUAUAACUCUUUAUAAUUUUAUUAAAAAAAGAUAUCACAAUUAAAUUCAAUAAAGAAAAUAAUAAAUAUUUAAGUUUUGUAUUAUUAUUUAAAAUUGAAAAAUACAUAUGAAUGAUAAAUAUGUUAUUUUAUUUCACUUGAACAUUAAAAAAAUACUUAUAAAUACUUUAAUAAAGAUGUAUAUUAUUAUUAUAAAUAUUUAUACUAUUUAAAAAAUUAUAUGACACAUGAACUAAUGACAAUAAAUAAAAUAAAAUAUUUUUUAAAUCAUGAAAGUUAACAAAUGAAUUGAUCGACUUGAGUUACAUAAAUAUUUCUUUAUUGACUAUUUCGAUUUUAUUAUAAUUAAGGGUUAAUUGAAUUCCGUUUAAUAUUUUGUUGUUAACCGUUGCAUAAAAUAUUCAUUUAUCAUUAUUGUCUUUCCAUUCAUUUAGUGUUUAAAAAUUAUAAACAUAGGAAAACAUGCAUACACACUGCAGUUAUAAGAAAAGUCAUAGGAAUACAUUGUGGUAUAUAAACAACAAUCGAUUAACUUUUUUAAUAUCAUGUCAUAAUAACUAUCAUAUUCACUAUAUGUUCAUAUUAAAAGACAAUCAACAUUAACACAGAUUAGGAUGAUUUGUUACUUCGAGUCAGAGUCGUUCAAUUGUGUGGCUUUUAUAAUCUGCGAAAUGACGAAGAAGAACAAACAUUCGUAGAAAUAAUUUUGUUAUAUGAAUAAGUAUUAACUCUUUAUCCAAAAUAUUGUGUUUGUUGUUCACAAAAUAUAAUUUUAAAUUUCUAAUAAUUUCACAUUAUUAUUUUUUCUUUAUAAAAUUAUUGAUUUCAAUAUUUUAUUGCUAUAUUUUUUUCUUUAAGGAACUCCUUUAUAUGAAAUCAUAAAAAAAAUAUCUUUUAACACAAUUUAGAGAAUUGAUACAAGAGGAAAAUUUAUGUACCAUAAAAAAUAUUAAAAUAAUUGCGAUAAAUGAAACAUACAAAUAAGUCAAAAGACUUGAAAAAAAGAAAGAAAUGGUUUUUGCGAAAAAGACUUGUAUCAUUUGUCUUUUUUAAAAGUGUUUUUUUGACUGAUUUGUAUGUUUCAUUUUUCGGAAUUAUUUUUAUAUUUUUAUGGAUUUUUCUCUUGUAUCAAUUUUCUAAAUUGUGAUAAAAGAUAUUUGUUUAUGGUUUCAUAUAAAGGAGUUCCUUAACGAAAAAAAGUAUAACAAUAAAAUAUUAAAAUUAAUAAUUUUAUAAAGAAAAAAUAAUAAUGUUAAAUAUUUAAAAUACAAAAGUAUAUUUUGUGAACAACAAACACAAUAUUUUGAAUAAAGAGUUAUUAUCUUUUCAUCUAACAAAAUUAUUUCUACGAAUGUUUGUUCUUCAUCAUUUCACAGAUUAUAAAAAUCCCACAAUCGAACGACUUUGACUCGAAGUAACAAAUCAUUACAAUCGAUGUAAAGAUCUAAGAUUAAAUUUUUCAUUGUUGAUUGUCUUUUAAUAUGGAUAUUUGUUAUGACGUGAUAUUAAAAAAGUUAAUUUAUUGUUGUUAAUAUAAGACAAUGUGUUUCUAUGAUUUUUCUCAUGCUUGCUGAGUGUAUGUUUUCCUAUGUUUAUAGUUUUUAAACACUAAAUAAAUGCAGUGGUCAUAAUAAUAAAUGAAUAUUUUAUACAGCGAUUAACAACAAAAUAUUAAAAAAAAUUCAAAAUUCUUUAUUAUAAUAAAAUCAAAAUUGUCAAUAAUGAAAUAACAAUGUAACUCAAGUCCAUCAAUUCAUCUGCUAUCAUGAUUCAAAAAAUAAUUUAUUUUAUUUAAUGUCAUUAGUUCAUAUGUUAUCUUUUUUUUUUAAAUAGUAUAAAUAUUUAUAAUAAUAAUAUAUAUCUUUAUUAAAGUAUUUAUAAAAAGAAAAUAUUUUAUUUUUGUAACAUUUUAUUAUGUGAUACUAAUAUUUGAGAUAAAAUAUUAUAUGUAUUUUUUUAAUGUUCAAGGGAAAUAAAAUAACAUAUUUAUUAUUCAUAUGUAUUUUUCAAUUUUCAGUAAUUAUACAAAAUUUAAAUAUUUAUUAUUUUAUUUAUUGGAUUUAAUUGUGAACAUCUUUUUUUAUUCAAAUUUUAAAGAAAUUUAAAUAUAGAUUAUUGUAUACAUUUUAUAACGGUUCGGUUUCUUUUAUUAGUAUCACAAAUAAACAUUAUUUUUUUUCAGAGAGUAAAUUAUUUUUUUAUGAUUCAAAUCAAUUUUAUUUUAAUAUUUUAAUUAAUAGGUAGCAAUCUUCAUAUAGCUAAAAUAUAUGUUAAAUGAUGAUGAAUUUUAAUAAAUAUUGAUUAUGAAUAUUUUUUAUAGUAAUAUUUGUUUCUAUUUAUAUGUGUUUAAAUGGAAAAUAUUUAAUCUUAUUAAUAUUUGUGAUAAUGACUAAUAUAUAUAAUAUAUUAUACAUAUUUCACAUGUCUCUUGUUUUUAAAGGUGUAAAUUUAAUUAUCAUAAUAAUAAAAAAUAUGAAUAUUUGAUUGAAUAUAAUUAAAUUAUUCAAUUAAUUAUUAAUUAUUAUAAAAUUAAUUAUUAAACGUGUAAAAUAUGAUUGUCAUAACAAUAAAUGAAUAUAUAUUUAAAUUUAUAAUGCAAUUAAAAUCCAAAUAAUUCUUAAUUAUCAUUAAAUUCUUAGUUAUAAUGAACCAUAAACCAAAAUAAAAUUUUAUUAUUAUAUUCAUCAUAAUGUUUUUUUAACCUAAGUCCAACCAUUUAUUGGUUUUUUUAAUUGAUCUAAAAAAUAGUCUAUAAUAUAUUUAUUGUCAUUAUUACAUGAAUUUAAUGUUUUUUAAAGAAUAUAAAUGUUUAUCAUAAUAUAAUAAUACAACCCUUUACUAAAGUAUUUAUAAAUAAAACAUAUUUUAUUAUUGUAACAUUUUAUUAUGUGCUAUUAAAUUUUGGGAUAAAAAAUUAUAUGGAUUAAUUUUUGAAAUGUUUAGAAAUAAGACAGUAGUGCAUCCCAUAUUAUCUAGUUUUUAUUAUUUUCAGUACUAGAUGGCGCACCCCUUACUUUCUCUAGUAUAUCAGGAAAAUCGAGGAAAUAGAGAAGUAUUAUUACCUCGAUUUGUAUUAUUAACCGAGGGGACAUUAUAUUAAAAUAUACGUUUGGUAACACUAAUUUACAACGGUCUGACAAUUAACCAUGGUAAUACCUCAUCACUGUUUUUGAAUACGACAGUGGUGAAAUUGUUUACCCAUAUAUAAACAAAUUAACUCUCGCUUCUUGAUAGUAUCACCGUAUCUCUCACAACAAAACCUUAGCACACAUUUUCUCUGUUUUUGUUCUUCAUUAGCUUUCAUAUUCUACAUUAUUGUUUCAAUCUUGUUCUUCAUACAUAAAGGUAUUAUUCUUCUUCCUUAUUCUCUAGUUUUUGUGGUAUGUUGUUGUUAUGUUUCACAUGAUUUUCACAUGAUUUUAUUUUUAUUGUUGUAUGUUGUUGUUAUUGAUAAAUGUUGUAUAUUUUUGUAUGUUGUUGUAUAUUAUUGUUGUUGUAUGUUGUUUUAAUGCAUAUUGUCGUGUAUCAUGUUGACAAAUGUUGUUAUGUGUUGUUGAUUUUGUUGUUCAUGUUGUUUUGUUUUAAAAUCUGCUUAUGUUUCAAUAGCUUGUUUCAUAAAUGUUGAUGUAUGUUGUGGAUGUUGUUGUUGGUAAAUAUUAUUGUAUGUUGUUAAUGGUGUUGUUCAUGUCAUUUUGUUUCAAAAUAUGCUUAUGUUUCAAUAACAUGUUUCAUAAAUGUUGUUGUUGAAAAAUGUUGUUGUAUGUUGUUGAUGAUGUUGUUUUGUUUCAAAAUCUGUUUAUGAUGAUGUAUCAUUGUUUAUAUUUUAAUAAAUUAUUGCAUAAUGUUUGAACUUUCUACUUGUUUUGACUUGUAGGUAGGGAUUCUUGUUUCAAUAAGGAGGAUGAAGAUAAAGUGAACGCUCCACACUUUUGUGAAAGACCCAGAAUGACAUACAUUCAAAAUUAUAACAAGUAUGCAGCUCUCACUUCAGCUUCAUCCUCCUUUCACCGUGAAUGCAAUUAUGGGGGACAUGUAUGUUUCUGAAACAUUCUAUGAGUUAAUAUAUAUGUUGUUUUUGUUCUUAUUAAAAAGAGUGAUAUGUUGUAUGUUGUUUAAGGUUUGUUAUUGAUGAAUAUUGUUGAUGAAUGUGUUGUUAAUGUUUGCUUAAAAGAUGAUUUUAUUACAUCUUAUAUGGUUUGAGUGUUUUUCCUAUCCCUUACUGAAUAUACAUUUUCAGAUUGCAUUAGAAAAUUAUAAUAUGAUAGAUACAAUGAUAUUAGAAAACAAGUACACGUUCAAUUCUAGACAUGAAUUCUUCAGCCCACUAUCUGCAUUUUGUUCUUUAACAUUAGAACUUUAUUUAAUUCUUAUAGUUAUUCAACCGCCCAUUUCCCCACCUCUGAUUUUGUUUGCAAACUAAAUAAUAUUUUGAAUAAUGAACUAGAAGUGAAGGAACGGAAGGUUGAAGAACUAGGAGCAUUAAACAAAUUUCUAACCAUUAAAGAACUAAAUAUGGAUAAGAAGUUGAAACACUCUUGUCUAGCAUUGAACGUGAACUUGUUGUUCUAAUAUAACUUAAUUUCUCAUAUUAUAAUGCUCUAUAUCAGAUUUAAAGGUUUUAUGUUUAGUGAGUAUUAGCGAAAUAAGCAUUCUGCAUAAUUUAUAAUAACCUCAAUAUAUAUAUAUAUAUAUAUAUGUAUAUAUGUAUAUAUCACAACGGUUAUUUAUACCAAUAAUUGUUAAAUGUUACACGUUAAGAAUAUCACAACGGUUGUUUAAAGUAACAAUUAUGAUAGCUAGCAUGCUACAUAGCUUAUAAUCAUGGGAGAACGACCGUGGUGGAAAACAUCAUACAUAUAACCAUUCGCUACUUCAAAAUGGUUGAUCAGGCGUAAUGGUAUCCUUUUUCCAACCGUUGUGAAAUGGAUUUUAUGUAGUAGUGGGAAAUCCUUUUUAUUUAAUUUUUUUUUCUAUAUUUUUGUUUGAAACUAGAUUACAUAACCAUAUUUUCCCAUUUAUGAAAUAAAAACAUUGUAUCUUUUGCCCAUUUCUUAAAUAGGAAUACUGUACAAAAAAUGUUCAGUAUUUACACAAUUUGUUAAACCAAAAUGGCACACACACUAUAAUUUUACAACAAUAAUUGAUUAAUCAACAAAAGCAAUAACCAAAAUGCAAAGUUUUGUAGGCCUUCUAAAAGUUCUCUUAUAUGAUUUGUCACCGGUUAUUAAGCACCUAUAAUUUGAACAACAUUGAAACCAAUAAGGAUCAUGAACGAUAACUAUAAAUAUUGAGUAAGAAGAAUAAAAAACUAAAAUGAAUAAAUGUAUAUAACUAAUUGAUAUAAAAAAUUUACUUACUAGUUUUCUCAUAUCCCCUAUUGAUGAUCACGACGAAUAACAUGAACAUCAUCGAAAUCAUUUUAUUUAGAUGAGAAGCGUACAUGUGUUGCAAAACAAAGGGUCUACAAAUUUAAAUCUUGAUGUUCAUCACUACCAGAAAUAAAUUUUUCUUGUAGAAUAAUUGACCAUCUUAUGUUAGAAGGACCGGUGACAUAAAAAACUUGGGUUCCCUUGGAUGCCAUGAUAAAUGGUUUGUUCAUAUAAGUUUCCUUUCGCAUAUUAACCUAUGUGAAUCCUAAUUCAUCGGUUCAUAUAUCAGUGUUACUGUUAAUCGACUUGCGCUUAAAUAAAGACACUUUAAAAGUAACAUAAUUAAUCUCCAAAAUUUCCUCAAUGACCCUAAAGUAAGCUAUAUAUUCUAGUACAUGAUUGUUAUCUUUGAAACUAGACAAAUACAUGGAUUCAUCUUCAAGCACAACCCCACUAUUUUUGUAUAGUAUUACAAUCAUCCUUUGAUUUUGUAUAAAAUAAAAAUUUAGUAAUGUUGUAUGCACUCCAAGUUAUUACAUUAAACUUAGGCAUAUGUGACUUCCAUUGAAUUAUCUCCAACACAUUGCUCUCUUUAGAAAGUCUUUCAUUAAACCAAGUUGUGAAAGUUUUAUUAUGCACUGUCAACAACAAUUUUUUACUCAUCCGGAGGAAUUUUUCCUUGAUAAGACUUUAGUGAGAGGAAAAGUAAGCUUUGACUUCCUUAAUGUUAUUAAAUAUAGAGAAAUUUGCUUGAAGAACUACAUCUCGGUCAAAUGUCAUCACAUUUAAACCUUGAACACCUCUACCAUCUUGAUGAGACUUGUAAAUUCCUAUAGAGUUCGCUCUUGACAAUUUUUUUUUACAAAACUCAAUAGCUUUGUUUGUGAUGUAUCGUUCAAUGAUCGAAGCUUCCAGUUGAUUAAGAUUCUUUGUAUACCAAUUACAUAUCUUCAUGUAUCGCUCUACCCGAUACAUCCACCAUAAAUAAACUGGACAACAAAAUCUAAUCUCCCUUACUAUAUGAGCAACUAAGUAAACUAUAAUGUCAAAAAAAGAUGGAGGGAAAAUCUCUAAUUUACACAAGAUAAUUAUAUCCUCAUGUUCCAACUCAUCUAAAUUUCCAUAAUUAAUUACUUUACUACAUAUAGCAUUAAAGAUAACUAUAAUCUGGUUAUAGUUACCAUUACAUUUUUUUAAAUGUUACAGAUAGCCAAUCGUAGAAGUUAUUGCAUCAAUACAUGAAGAUCAUGAGAUGUUAAGCAAACUAAUUUAAUAUCUUUCAUUGAAGUUUCACACUGUCGCCCAUCACAUGCCACAACUUGGGGGAGGGGUUGAAGUAGUCUCGCCUGCUGUUGUGCCAUCUACAUUUUCACCAAGCUCUCUCUUCACUCAUCAAGAGGGCCUCCACCAAGUGUCAUGCACACGAAAACACCGUUAUAACACAAACAUAAUAAAUAUAACAUUGGGUCAAAAAAGACAUUCCUUCAUACCUAAGUAUGCCUCCACCCCAUCGCUGUCAACAUGCUUCGAGUAAUAAGGGUACUGAAUUCCAGAGAAGAAAAACAUCUCAAAAUUCAGAUUACUUUAUGAUCAAGAGGGAAGAAUACUUUGGUACGCCCUUUGGGUAAUCCAUGGAUUCAACAUCCAGGAUAGAGGUAAAGCGGGGUCAUCCCUCGCCCCCACAGUAACUGGAUAAGUAUCUCCUCGUCCUCUCAUCUGCAUGAACUUGUCUUUCCAAUCCUCAUAAGGGUUUGCGAAGGGUUUUAGCAUACACCCCCCGGAAAAGGGCGCAAUGUCACCCAUAUUUUUUAGGGUAGAAACUCCGUCGUAAAUAAAUAAAGGAACUCCCUCACAACAUGAGACUUGUCAGGCUACAACAGACUAUCUAAAAAUCCUGGAGUAUGCCCCACGUGUUUUGGGUAAUCAGAGAAGGGGCGAUAUUGAUACCAUUAAAAAAAUCCACUUAGAAAGAAGUAAGUGGAAUGAAAACCCUUAGGUCAUGAAUAAUGUGGAGGUGGAUGUAAAAAUAGGGACCAGACGGCUCACCGAAAGUGUUCAUGUUUCCCCUCUCUCCCUUUGAAUAGGAUUCCAUAAUCAUGUCAUCCUCACAUCCUGUGUUAGAAAAUAUGAUUCCAUGACAAAACCUAUUUAUCGUAUUCACAGUAGGAUAUAGAGACACAAUGUCUUGAACAUGAAUAAGUUUAGUCUUAUUUGCCAUGAUUGCUUGGGGGACAGAAAAGGAAGACAAUUUGUUUUCACCCAGAGGAAAAAAGAGUGAGCUCUUCAAUAUCCCCUUUGGUGCCCUAGAUUGGUAUAUUUUUAUGGAAAAGGAUAAAUGGGAAAGAAGAAGAAAAAAAAGGGUUUCCCCCGAAACUAUAUACGGGAAACCCAAUGACACAAAUCACCCAUUCACCCAAUGUGGUAACCGCCAUGAUAAGCAGGAAGGUCCUAAUACCUGGAAGGCGUAUGUAAACAAAAGAUAGAUAAAUUUGUUUUCCAAAAAAAAAGCCAUCACGAGGUGCAUUAAAUGCCACCCACAAUCAUCUUUUCACUAAAACACUUAAGUUUUCAAUAGUGACUGACGUUUAGUUAUCUUGGGGUCUAAUAAAAAGAGAUAGAGAAUAUCCCUCUAUCGUCUAGUGAUCCAAGAGGCAUUCGUAUAAGAAUAAGUAGUCACCUUCUGUUGAAGGACUCAACCCUUAAAUAAAUAGUAGUUUUCAGCUGAGGGAUGCUUCCCCUAAUAAAUUAUCACCACCGAUUGAGGAACUUAUAAAUAGGGCAAAGAGCGUACUUCACAAGUGAAAGAGGAUUUAAAAAACUUUCCCUUAACAAGGCCCUCGUUCUUGAGGGACUAUGCAGUGUUAUAUUUGUGAGUGGCCUAAGCAAGGGGGUCCUCUCCCAAGAAUAUUGAUGCCUAUGCAAUAUCAACAUGGUUGGCCACUAGCAUUGAUGACGUGUGGAUGUCAUUGGUCAAAGGAGAAGGAAUUCACCACUACCCUUUGAAGACUAGGUGUUCAACAACUUCUCUUGAUCAAAAGGGAGCGGUUUCCGCCCUUAAGGGUUACCUAAAUCCUAGGCCCAAAAAGGGGUUCUAUAAAUACUCUCCCCCAAGGGGAUAUGGGACAGACUUUAAUACAUACAAGUCUUUAGCCAUAUAAAUCACACCCACACAUAUGCUUAUACCUAAUAACAUAUCUCCAAACAAGGCCUCUCACCUCACGUAAGUAAGACCUCUAAACCACUGUAAAAACAUCACCGCCCAGGGUUUCUUGCCGUUGUGGGCAACCCCUAACCACCAUACAUCGUAAUAUGCUUGGCCUUUGAGUCCCCUUGCUCCUACAGGAGGAAUAUGCACACUUGUAAUUUUUUACCAGUAUUAAUAGACUUUAUGAAUCCUUCUAAAAAUGCAUCGUGUUCCUUUUCCAACCAUUUCCUUGACUUCCUCCAACCUACAAAACAGGUUAAAUCUUUGUAAAAUAAUGACUAAUCACAAUCCCAAACUUAGCUUGUUGCUUGUCUUCAAGCAACAUUUUGAAAAAUAAAAAUGUUUUAACAUACCAACUCAAAUAAAGUCAAGAGUUAAAAUUACUAUACCUUCUGGUUCCUUUAUGAUAUUCUCUUACUAUUACCUUGACUUUCACAUUUUUACCAAGGUCGACUGAUCUUCCUCAUUAUCACUUGAUGAUAGUACUUCAUUUGUCAUCUCUCUACUUAUUCUCUAGUGUUUAUGUGUUUAUUCUCUCAAAAUUCACAAUAUGCAACAUUGUACCAUAAACUUGAUUAAAUUCUAAUCAGUUAAUAAGAUACAAAGAUACAAACACUUUUUGAGAUCUUUAAGGUUGUAAUGGGGCUAGGGCUCUGGUAGAAUAUAUUUGGAGAGUAGUUUAAAACAUGGAGUAAGAAGUAUUAUUCUCAUUGACAAUGUUUAAUUAAAAAGUUUUGUGGGAUAUUUGUUUCAACUGAGUUCUCUUUGGCUUCGUUGAAUUUUUCCAACUUUAUUUACUUCAUUUUUAUUUCUUUCUUUUCUAGUUGAAUUUCAACUUUUCUUUGAGUACAUUGUUAUUUCUAUUUUUUCAAAGUAUGUUGAAUUUUCAAAAUCAUUCUUUUUCUUUUCAUAUAUGGACUCAUAUUCAUUUGAUUUCCUUAAUUUAUAAUUGAUACCGCAAACUUAUUGGUUGUCAUUCCAACAGUAACUCGAAACUUGAUAUGGACACAUCUUUAAGACGUAAUAUUUCUACAACAAGUAGGGCAGGGAAGUGUUUCUGCCAAGGAUUACACUUAGAGUUAAGAACAAACAAAAGGGAAACAGGCUCAAAGCGGUUAUGCAAGGGAUAAAAAUAAAAAUGUUAGCAUGAAAGGCUCUGGGCUAAAAUGAAACAACUCACCUCAAUUUAUGUAAAUAAUGCAAAUGAAAUCAACUUAGGACAUACGUAAGUUCUUAAAAAUGAAUACAAACUCGAAUGUUCUCUCUCAUGAUGAAGUGUUUGGCUUGAUUUGUCAUUCAUCGGGUUGUUUAGAAAUGAACAACCUACACAAUGCACCUUAAUUAAUGCAAAGUCAUAAUCAAUUAUGGUAGACCUGCUUAACUCUCAGUAUGACUCAGAAGUAUAUAAAUUAUUUUGCGAGUUGACAUGCAUGAGGAAUAAAAAUAGCUAUGUUGAUUGAUUAUUAGAAAACCACUAUUUUACUAUGAAUUAUCAGUUAACUAGAUGAAAGUAAACAAACAUAAAAUAAAGCAGCAAAAACGAAACAAAACUAAGAACUUAAUUUAAAAUUGAAAAAUAUAAAAUAAAAUUAAGUAGAUCUAAGGUAAGAAUAUCUCCCUUAGGUUUCCUCCCAAGAAGCGCUCGUUUAUUGCCACUAGAUAAUUCAUCUUCCAAACCUUGUUAGUUUUCUUUUUCGAGACUAAGAAAUCAUCUUUUCCAAAGACAUAUAUUACUUUGUGUAGCAUGUUACUCCAUAUUUUUAUAACAUUAGUUAAAUGUUGCUUUUUCUUUUUUUUUUCUCUUGGCUUUUGGAAUGGAUUUUUAAGUCUUUCUACUCAUAGGUACUAGUGGACAUCUGAGAUGUUAUUGCUAAUACUUUUUCUGGUACUAGUCUUAGAAUUUGUCUUUCCACAUAUUUUUUGAUCAUGCCUAUUUAAUAGAAAUUAUAUUUUUCUUCCUCUUGCUUCAAGUUUUCAAGCACAUUCAAUGUUAUUUCAUCAUCAUAAACUUUUAUAAUGAGUGUCCCAUUUUCUAAAUUGAUAUUGCAUCGAAUUGUAAGCAAAAACGAUCUACAAAGAAUAAAAUUGUUCUCUUCAUCAUCAAGCAUGCCCAUGGUCAAAAAUCAACUAGAAAGCUAAUUUUUUCUAUUUUAACGAGCGCAUCAUCUACUAUCUCAUAUGGAUGCUUUGUAGAGUGAUAUACAAAAUUUAAAUUCAUCCUUGUAUCAUUAACUUUUCCAAUGAGACUGACUCACACUAGCUCCUGGACCAAUCAAAACUUUCUUGAAAGUUUUUUCUUUUAUCGUGCAUGGAAUUGUGACAUAUCCAUGAUUUUUUUGGUUGAUAGGGAUUCUCCUACCUUGUGAUAUUGCAUAACACUUCUCAAUUAAGCUUACUGACUCAUUUCCCAAUGUUCUCCUUUUAGAAAUUAUAUCUUUCAUAAAUUUUUGGUACAUUGGCAUUUUCUCAAGUUCUUUAAAUAAAGGAAUGUUGAUCUCAAACUUUCUGAACAUUUCAAGAAAAUUUUCGAAAAAUUUCCUGUUUUGAUCAUUCUUAUUCACCCUAUGAGGGUAUGGAAGUUUAAUGUCCCUUGAUUCUUUCUUCUUUUCUAGUUCAACAUCUUUGGGGGAAGUAAUAUUCUCUAGUUCUUAUUUAUUUUCCUUACCUUCUAGAUCUACUUUGAUAAAAUGAUUUUUCUCAGAUGUCUUCUCUUCUUCACUUUCAACUGCUUGUCUACUUCUUGUCAUUACAACACAAACAUUAUUAUAUUCUUUGGAAUUUAUGAAUAUGGUGCUCGAAGUACUCCCUUGUGCUUGCUAUGAAACCAAUAGUUAUUUUUGAAUUUCCCCCCAUUUUAAUCUUUGUGGAUAAGGAAAAUUUGAUUUUUGGCUUUGGAAGUUUUUAUUUUUGAGCUAUGGUAGUAAGAACAUUGGCCCUUUCGUGAUUUCUAGUAUUAUAGAUGGUGUUGCUUGGGGUUUUAUCUUGAACUCAUUAUGAAAAUUGUUGAUCUAUCUGUCCCAUCUGAACCUCUAGAUUUUUUAAUAGAUGUUGUAGUGCUCCUUUGAUUAUUCCUUGUCUCUUCUUGGAAUUGAGCAUUGUGAGCAGUAACAUUUUCAAGACCUAUCUCCCAAUAUCCUUUCUUAGGGACUCAUUUUGUUGUUGAAAUCAUUGUUGAUUCUAAUAUUGCAUUGGCCCAUGCUGAUCUUUCAAUGAAAAGUUUGGAUGAUUCUUCCACCCUCGAUUAUAUGUGUUGGAAUAAGGAUUCUUCUUCUUGAGGAUCCCCAUAAAUUUCACAACUUAAUGCUUGUGCCUAUUAGACUUGAGCUACAUGUUGACUACUUGUGUUUAGGGCCUUAAGUCUCCUUUCAACUUCAGUUGCAACCUGAUCUUCUAACUUUAUACCCUUUGUUGCUAGUUUCAGAUCAAUAACCCUUUAUGGUUUGCUUGUGCAUCUAUCAUACAACUCGAGAUGUUCAUUAACAGCGAUGGCCUCAAUAAUCUUCCUGAUACCAGUGGCUAUUGUAAAAUUUUAUGAGCCACCAACAGUUUUAUCAAUCUAUUUUUUAGUCUUCAGUCUUAGCCAAUUAAGAAAUAUUUUCAUUUGUUAGGUUUGAUCAAAAUUUUGCGUAGGACUUGCAACCAGGACCCUUUUGAAUCUUUUAUAUGCAUCACCUAAUACCUAACCUUCUAUUAGUUUGAAAUUAAGAAUUUUGUAUAGUUUUCUGAGGAAAACUAAAGUAGGAAAAAAUUCAUUCAAAAAAGUUGUUUCCAUUUAUUCCCAAGUCAUGAUGUUAUCUGAUGGAAGUUAAUAAAACCAUUCUUCAGCAUCUUCUGCCAGAGUAAAAUAAAACAUUCUCAAUUUCUUGUUUUCUUCUAUAUGCCAUUCCAUCUUGAGAGUUGCAAUCAUCGUUAAAAACAUUUGCAGAUGUUUUCUCGCAUCUUCAUUGAUUUUACCUAUGAAAGGCCUCUUCUCUAGCUGGCUGGCGGUUUAAGGGUAUAACGGAAAGUUACGUACAUUUACAAGUUAAAUUACUAUUCUAAGUCGACCUCCCGGUGCAUUUUCUCUUCCAUAUUCUCUGAGUAGUCUUUCAGGAGAUUCUUGAUUUUCAACCACUGGUUCCUCUACUUAUUUUUCUGAUUAUAUAUUUGAUGGAUGGGAAUUUGUUUCCUCUUUUUUAUUUAUGUUUAAUGGGGGUUCAUUGAGGAGAUUUGAAUGAUUGAUUAUGUUUUGUUCAAAGUGUCUUUAUUUGAAUGUAAGUGGGUUGACAAUAACAUUAAUGUACAAAUCGAUGAGUUAGAAUUCAUAUGGGUUUACCUUUAAGUAAAACAAUUUAUAUGACCGAAACAUCCAUCAUGUAUACCCAAGCAAAAUAAGUGUUUCAUGUGACUGACCCUUAUGAUAAAAUAUGGUCAAUUAUUCUCCAAAAAAACACAUUCCUCAUAGUGAUGAAAAUCAUGAUUUAUAAUAUAAUAUCAAUAUAUAUAUAUAUAUAUAUAUAUAUAUAUACACACACACACACACAUAUAUUCCUUCGACUCCUUCUUACAGAACACAAGUACCUACUUCAUAUAAAGUAGUUGAAAGAGACUCUGUGCAUGCUAUUCAUAACGAUAUGGAAUAACACACAUGGGAAAAUUAACAAGUAAAUAGUUUUUAUUGCUUAUUCAUAGUUUAUUGUAUAUUAUAAUUUCUAAUGCUAUAUACUCAUAAGUAUUACUAUUUAAAAUAAUAUGUGUUUAAAGCCAAGACAACAGAAGACAAGACACGUUCCUCACGUCGUAGAUAUUAUUUGAUGUAAUGAUGUUAUAAUUUAUUGUAUGUUGUUUGUGUCAUUUAGGUUUUGAUCUAAUAUACAACUUUUUAUUCUUAAUGCAAUUUUUGAUUUUGAUGUAAUACUAUUUUUGAUCCAUUUUAGUUGCCAACAAUGGGCUUGGUUCAGAUAUGGUUUUUGUUGACGUUUCUAGUCUACUUACGAUUCAUAAAAAUACAGGUACAAAAAUUGGGAAUUUUGUAAAAUAAAAAAUGUAUAUUUAAAAUAUACAGAUUAUUUCACCAUGGUUGGUUAUUUCGACAUUGGUUAUAUCUAGCACGCUAUCCAGAUUAAUAAACCUAAAAAAAUGGAAACACUGAUUAUCGAACCCAGAACAUUUGGUUUUUUUACUACAGUUGUAUAUUACAACUGUGAUGAUGACGCGCCGUGAGAAAUACAGAGUCGCCACCGAAUUUUAUUUAUUCCAAAGGAUUUGGGCCCUUGUGCCUACGUACCCUCAUCAAGGAUUUGGGCCCUUGUGCCUACGUACCCUCAUACGUGCAAUAAGGAAGUCAGAGCUUCGUAGUUUGGCCCAAAAAUGGAACAUUUGUUUGGUUGUUUUUAUUGAACAGUAUUAACAUUCGCGCGCUACUAUUCACUUGCUUAUAUACUCUGUCAUGGGACCGAAAAAUAUUUGCUUGUUUGCGGUAAAAUGGAUAUGCUUGGUUCGCACUCUAGCGGUUAAACAUCACUUGCUCGCACAUAGAGGCUUAAGCUUCGUUCACAGUAGAAAGAAAGUAACACGUUUAUAUUGAAAGGUUUUGAAGAGAAAGCCCUAAGAUAAAGAAUUAUUUGAUUUGUUAGGGUUGAUUUUAUGUACGGAGAUAAGCAUCAGAUCCUUGGCUAGAUACAAUCAACGGUCCAAUAACUUGGGAGUUGAGAGGAAAAUAUUAUCCUAACCAUUCUUUUUCAUCUAAAAAAGAGAUUUUAAUUGUGAAAAGAGUUUGGCAAGUCUAAUCAUUGGAAUUUAGAGGGAGACAAGUCUCUGACCCUUGACUAAGUACAAUCAACAAUCAGAGUACUUGGGAAUCGAUAGGACAAUGGAGUCCUAACUACUCUUUUUCUUCCUCAUAGCACCUAGAUCUAACUUGUUUGAAUCAUGAUAUGUUUUAAGGGGGGGAAGGGGGGGGGGGGAGUCAAGUUUCGGGUCCUCAUGCUAGGUAUGGCCGACAACCCAAUUACUUGAAUGUUGUGUACAAACAUGUACACUUCAUUUGACAUUCCAAUUUAUUACGAAAAUAAUUUUGAAAAAGGAACUUGAUGUUGGAUCAAACAUUUGAAUUUAUUAUGAAAAAUAGUGAGUGAAGAAUAGAGAUGAAAGAUAGAAUGAGGUUGAGAAGAUAAUGGAGAAGAGAUGUGAAUGAUGGAUAAUGGAAUGGAUGGAGAAUACUUGACGUUGGAUCAAGCAUUCACGUUGCAAUGGUGUGAAUUUUAUUUGGAAAACAACUUGACGUUGAAUCAGGUACCUUUUAUUUCUUUUGAAAUGCUUUGUUUAUCAUUUUGUAUUUUAUCUUGGUUAUUGACAUGCAUGGUGAACUAACUAGAAAGAAAUAAAUCUAAGCUAUUACAUGACUAGGGGGUGGGGGAACAUUUAACCCAAAAGGGGGGAUCCGCACAAUACAACAUGAAGUCAUGAAAGGAAAAUACAAUUUACCACUCAUGUGCAAUGCCUAAACCAUACAAGUGGCAUGGCACUUCAAACAAUACAAACUAAUGAAUAAAAAUAAAAGGAAUAGCUUGGAUGAUGUUUGGAUCUCUCAUUCACAUGUCUCCAUAAAAAAGAAACAAAAGUGGUUAGUAUGCAUUAACGAAAUGGGAUUAAAAUGAAUAUUAAAAUGCUAAACAAAUGGAUGAAAUGUUGAAAUGAUGGAAUGAUAUAAUGAUCUUGGUGAGAAAAUAUGUACCAAAUUAAAUUGAAAUAGAAAUUUUGAUUUAGCUAUUAACCACAAACAAAUGUAACCAAGUCAAAGUGAGAUUAAUCAUGUACAUGGAAAAUAACAUGGCAAAUCAAAUGAAAUUCUAAACAUAGCAUGGUUGAUCACAUGAAAAUAAAUUCUGGAAAAUUAAAAAAUCUAAUAUAUACAAAUGAUUAAUCCUAAUUUCUAACUAAUUACCUAAUCCUAAUUAACCUAAUUAAACAUGAAUUAAGCUAUUUAUCCCUAAAAUUAUGUUGAAUCCUAAAUGUAAAAAAAAAAACAGGAAUUAAAAUCUAUUUCAUACAAAAAACAGCGACAUGAUUAGUAACAAAAAUAGAAUUAAAAUUGGAAUUGAUUAAAUCAAUUAUGAGAUUUAUCAUGAUUAAGAUGAACAAUGUUAGGCCAGGGGUAUGAAAGCAGAUCAAGAGGGGCAAUUGCUUGGCCUAAGGCCCAGUCAGCAUGACCUGCUGGAAUUCAGCACAAUAAUGAGGACAAAAUUUGCUAUCAGCAUGAAUGUUACUGCUACAUGUGGCAGUGGAGAUAUGGAGUAGACACUCCUUGGACCAGUCAACCAAUCAAAGUAUCAAGGCAAUCAAUAAAUCAAUGCUCAUAAUGGAUAAAAGAAUAAGCGGUUUCUAAUGGUAUCACACUCUCCUCUCUCUCUCCGUUCAUUCAUCUUCCAAUUUUCAUGUCAAGACAGAACCACCACCGGAGCUGCGACACCACCGCGCCGGAGGCGGAAGAGUUGGCCGGAUUCAAGAAAAAGCACCAAUUUCUUACUCCUCUCAAACUCUUCUAUCCUAAUCUCUCAUCUAUUCUAACUAUAGAUUAACUAAUUCUGGAAAUUAAGCAAUUUAAGUCAAGAAUCCUAAGCACAAAAUCUGAAAUUGAAUGGAAAUGGAGGAGAAUCAAACCACCAAGCCUUGGGGUUUGGAUCCUCCACUACAUAUGCUACAUUGAGGUAUAAAAAAUUCAACAAAUGAGUGAAGAUUCACUGACCUACAAAACGGAGGAUUGUCUUGGAACUUGUUGAGAUUUGAAAGUGAUGAAGAUGAAGAAGAGAAAACCAGAGGUAUGCUACUUUGAACCUUUAAUCUUCCACUUCUACUAUGAACUCCUCCUCUUCAAGAAUCAACUCUAACAAAUUAUGAAUUAGAUUGUUGUUGUUGAUGUUGAUUAUAUGAAUGAAGGGAUUAUUGUCGAGUGCAAGAGGUUUAGCUCAAUUGAUAACAAAAUUCAAUGUGAAGCUUGCUCCAAUGGUGAUUUGAGCUUUGAUGUAGGGAGAGGAAUUGGAGAAGAUGAAGUGAGAAAAAUUGAAUUUGCAAUGAGUAAUUUGAGAAUGAUAAAAAAGUUCCCUUUUUUGCUCCCCUUUCUGUUUAUAUAGGUUGCAGGUUUGGGUCCAAUGGAGGUUCGGAGUUAGUUAUUGUCAGGUUAGGAUUCAACUUAGGAGUUAGUUGAAGUGAACUCAGUGAGUUCAAUUGGUUAACUCGCUAAGUCGGAAGAUAGUUGGUUGGAUUAGUUAAUUGGUUAAUUGGUUGGUUUUUUUGAGUAAUUCCAAUAGUGACUGAUUGUAGCAGGUUUCCCUUAAGUGGUUUUGGCUUUGAAGUUUUGUUUAUGACCUGUUAAUAAAUUGGCUUAGGUGCAAGGUAUAACAAGUAAGCUUAAGUGUGACUUGCAAUUGUAGGUUAAUGCAGAGUAUGUGAAUCAUUGUGAUCGUGUUGGCAUGACAAGAAUUUGUACUCUGUAGUGUUUCAGUAGCUUGUAGUACCAUCGAAUCUGCUACAAGGAACAGGUUGAGUUGACUCAGACAGGGGAGGAGUCGACUCAAACAGAGCAUUUUCCAGGGUUGAGUCGACCUACGAGUCGACCUGUUCGAACUCGUGGCGAACUGGUUCAAAGGAAGACGGGAAAUGAGUCGACGUAAGGAGUGGGUGAGUCGACUCAAAUAGGAUUUCCUAUAAUUGAGUCGACCGGUGAGUCGACCUGCUCGGACCCGUGGCAAAAUGGUUCAAGGGAAAAUGGACAAUGAGUCGACGCAAGGAUUGGAUGAGUCGACUCAACCAGGUUUCCCAGAACUAGGUCGACCUGUGAGUCGACCUGUCCGGACCCAUGGGUUUUGCUUCGAGUCAAUGAGUCGACUCACAGAGCAUAAAGUUCCAAAAAUGAGUUUUGCAAUGUGUUAUAAUUUUUUUCACUUUUAUUGUAUGUAAUGACUAUUUUAUGGAUGAACAUGAAUGAAAUUGGCCAAUUGAAUGAAUUGACUUAAUAUAUGAACAUGUUACUUGAAACGGAUUGAAUCGAGACACAUAAUGGAAUAGAACCCAUGCAAAAACCUAUGAAUGAACCAUUAACUAUGAACCCAAGGGCCCAUUAAUGACCCAAACGAUCAAAGGCAAGCAUGAAACAAGGAUAUGGCAACAAAUGAAAUGACCAAUGACCAGAUGACAGUAGGACAUGGACAUGAACAAGCACAAGAUGCACAUGUGGGAUCAAGUAAUCCAAGGAAUCAAGACCGAUAAACCAAUACGAAUGACCCAUGACCAGGAGGUUGUUGGGUGAAGCUUGAUCAAGUAAGAGAGACACACACAACAGAAUGAUGAUGGACCCAUUAGAUAGGGUUUAGGAGGCCAUACAAAGAGUAUUGGACAUAGUUAGAGUUUGUUGCAACCAUGAUCAAGUGAGGAUUCCAAGAUUAGGGCUUUGCUUUACCACUUAGCCAAAGUUGAGUUACCAAUGAUAAGAACACACACAAACCUCAAGAGCCACCUCCAAUUAGGGUUUGAUUGAUUGAGUCACCUUCAUCUGCAGAGAAAACUUAGCUUCCACCAAAUGCAAGCAUAAAGCUUGGAAUCCACGAUACCCGUCCUCUUGUAUUGGACAAUGACUAUGCAGGUGAAAUGAAUGAUAUAAGGAUAUGCAUAUGAUUAAGGUUAGUGACCUAGAUGAUCUUUGUGAAGGGUAGGGCGAAUUUUGGGGUAUGGCAGAUGAUAUGUAGCGCGCUUUAUAAUUUAUUAACACGACCAAUAGACCAUGGUUGUAAGUAGUCAACUUACAACCACACACUACUUUACCAAUGGGCAUCGACUGUGGUUAUAUCUCUUUCUCAACCGUUGUUGUAUGUUUUAUCUGUAAUAGUGGAUCAAUUUAAUAACAUAUAUUUUGUACGAGAGUUUCACUACGCCGAGCAAUUUUUAUCAAACUUUUUAAAUAAAAAAAUUUUAAAUUGGUUUUUAUGGUAAUAGUCUAUUCAACAUCAUUUUCUAAACCAUUCAAAUUCAUAUUUUCCUUUCCAAUAAAGUUUGUUCUUAUUUUGUUUGUUAGAUGAAAUUGUUUCUAUUUUAAUAAAUUUACUGUAACAAUUUUGUUUAUUAAAGGACCCUCCCGUAUAUCUUUAUUCAUUGAAAAAAUACAAAUUAUUCACAUUAAUUUUCUUAUAAAAAUUGAGAAUUUAGAAAGGCCAAUUGAUAAAUUGUUCUGUCAAAUGAAUCAUACAACACUAGUCCAUUAUAUAAAAAACCCACACUUGAUUUGCCGUCACUACUACAAAAUAGAUAUUUCGUAACAUCAUAUUACAACGGUCUGUUUGUUAACCGUGGUAAUAACUCUUUUUUGGAUUUUUUUUUUGUAUUUACUAAAAGACAUUUCACUAUGGACGUAGUGAAAUGUACCUGGAGUGAAAGGCUUCGAAUCCCAGCACCAAUAAUUUUCUAUUUAUCAUGACAAAAUGGACUUGAACUUGAAUAUCACCAUGGUUCUUAUAAUCAACUUUGGUGUAAGGUGCAAUCAUUUCAUUACGGUUCGUAUUAUCAACUGUGGUGAAAGUUGUUACAUAUUUAUAUAUAAGAGAAACUAUAUCUCGCUUCAGUACAUAACAAUCGUCUAUCUCAAAAAUUCUAACAUGUCUUUCACUCGCUUUAUCAAAACAAAAUCCUAACAUUUGUGUCACUCGUUUCUCUCAUAUAGAAAACUCGAACUUAUGCAGCGAACUUGUUCUUUGAAGGGUUAUCUUUGUUGCAUCAAAUCUUAACAAAUAAUUAUCUUACAGGUUUGUCUUCACAAUAAUUUAUGUUUCAAAAUUGAUUUAUGUAUUAUUUUUUACGUUUAAAUAGCUUGUUUCAUAAUGUUUGAAAUUUCUACUUGUUUUGACUUAUAGGUAGGGAUGGUGAAUGGAAAAAAUUAACGAGGAUGAAGAUAAAGUGAGCGCUGCAAACUUGUGUGAAAGAGUUGUUUCUUGUAUUUUGUAUGUUGUUGAUGAAUGUUGUUGUUAAUGUUUGUUUAAAAUAUGAGUUUAUUAUAUCUUAUGUUGUUUGAGUGUUUUUCCAACUCCUUAUCAAAUAUAUAACUUUUUAGAUUGUAAGCUUAUAUGUUUAGUGAACAUUGACGAAAUAAGCAUUCCACGUAAUUUAUAAUAAACUCAGUGUAUAUAUCACAACGGUUGUUUUGAACAAUUAUUGUUAAAUGUUAUACAUUAAAGAAUAUCACAACGGUUGUUUAAAAUAAUCGUUGUGAUAUGGUGAGUGCUUCAUAGCUUAUAAUCAUGGUCGAUCGUUUUGAAAAACAUCAUAGAUACAACCAUCAUUUACCUCAUAAUUAUUGGAUAGACGUGGUAGUAUUUAUUUUUCAACCAUUAUAAAAUCACUUUUAUGUACUAUUGCGUCCACCAAAAUUAUUAGAAUUUUUUGGUACCGUAACCUAAACAUCCGAUGAAGUAUAUAAUUUCAACCCAAAAUUAAAUCUUAAUAGCAACUAUUUAUAGACUAUAGUCAAACAUUUAUAUAUAGAUUAUAGUCAAACAUUUGAGAUUUAUUAUAGCAACAGGCUUUAUUUUUAACCUCCUAUACAUCCACAUACAACCAUAAACCAUUGAACCUGUAUAUGUCUUCAACUUCAUUAUUCCUUGGGUAUAGCAUAUUUAUAAUCACAAAUAGAUAUAACUAUUUGUUAUAGUUCGUUGUGGAUGCAUUAAAGUUACCCUCAGUAUACCCUCCAUUGCCAUUACCAUUAAAAACACCACUGUUAUUUACAGUGCGGCCGCCACGAUUGUUGGUGGUGCGGUAUUUCAUUCGGUCCCCGGAGUUUGCACCGCUGUUGAUUUUGGCAUUGGAGAAAUUUUGGUCCCCGCUGCCAUGGUUGCUAAAUGCGUUAGCAGUACCAUGGUUGUUGGAUUUUGCAGCUUCGGCUUCUUCAGCCUCAAGCAUGGCGAUGAGGUUUUUGAGCACACGAGAUGACAUUCUUAUAACCUUACUUGAAAAGUGCUAUGAAACCUUAGACUUUUUUGUAUUUGGAUAGUGUUAACGUUGCAACCAAAACCUUAUUAUAUAGAUGAAAGGAUAGGAAUAUGAUGCUUUUGCUUGUUUUUCACGCGAACUUAUAUAGAAUAUUGCAUCUUACUUUUUCUUUUCUUUUUUAUUUUGACUAAGAAUAUUGCUUUUAUCUUUUAUAUCGGUUAGUAAAAAGGGAAAUAAAUUAUUCUUAUACAAUCGAUCAAUGACAACUAUGUAUCUCGUCAAAUCAGUUUAUAAAUUUUAAAUUAUUUAUAUGAUUUGAUAUUUUAAAAUAUUUUGAUUUAAUGUAUGUGUUAUUUUUUUACAUUGACAUUGUAGUAUCAUUAAACUCUAAGAAAAAUAUUGUAAAGAAUUUAUGUAAAAACCACAUAUUCUUUUAAUUUUAAUUUUUUCAAGGACAAAUUCACAAUCCCCACAACUCAAUUUUUUCAAAAAAUUGCAAACUGACUCACCCAUAUUACAAGUUGAUCAAGCAGACCCCGUCAAACACUAGCAACCGUUAAGAUCAAAAUUAGUGUCAAGAGAUCAUGUUGGCUCAAUAUCAUAUCAAUGUUUGGAAAGAAGCCCCGCGAAAGAGAAUAAAUACAACCAUCAUGCAUUAAUCAUGUCGUUACGCUCAUGAAAUCAUUUGCAGGUCACAAUGGCUUAUAAGCCACAAAAGCUAAAGUUCUCUCAGGAACAAAUACAUAGUUUGCUAACAACAUAUCAAACUUGGGACACCAAGAGCGUCCACGUUAGCCUUUUGAUCACCACAUCGUCAAAAUCAGAGUGUCAGGAAGUGAAAACCUUUUUGUAGACCAAAUCCCAGUCUUUCAUUGACCCAAACAUAAAAUCCCAAUCUUUCAUUAGUAACCAAUUGGAAAAAACAAGGACCAAUUUUUCAUUGGCACAUUCAUUUACCAAAAACCCCAAUCUUUCAUUGACCAAAACAUAAAAGUUCAAUCUUUCAUUGACAAUCAAAAAUUUAAAAAUCCAAUAUAUCAUUGGUAACAAAAGAAACUAAAAUCCAAUCUUUUAUCGGUAAUCUAAAAUCAAAGACCAAUAUUUCAUUGGAAUAUUAAGAACCAAUUCACAUUGGUACGCCCAAAUUUCAGCUUUACAUGACCUUUCCGAGAAAAGAAAAUCAAGCCCCACAAUAACCCAACCAUUCGUUUGCAUUUCUACAUACCUUAAUCAUGACAUUUCAUGCAUCACGCAUAGUAUUUUCACUGAGGUGAAGCAUUACGCCAUUAAAAUUUUAAAAAAGCAUGCAUACAUAACAUAAGUUAGGAUUCAGGACCAAUCGCGAGAGUCCAGGUCAAUCCUCAAGCAAGUCAGUGGUAUUUCUCUGAGUGAGUUCCUAUCAUGCAGGAUUUCUUAUCUGGCUUUCCCCAACGAGUCUUUUCCUUUAACUUUUUGUUGAUGAGAAUGAUAUCCUCAGUCGAGUGAGUGGUAUUUCUCUGAGUGAGUUACUACCCUGCAUGCUUUCUUAUUGGGCUUUCCCUAGCGAGUCUUUUCCUUUAACCUUUUGUUGAUGAGGAUGAUAUCCUCAACCAAGUCAAUGGUAUUUCUCUGAGUGAGUUACUACCCUACACAUUUUUUCAAUGGGUUUUUCCCAGUAUAUCUUUUUCUUAAACCUUUUGUUGAUGAGGUCAAUCCUCAAGCAAGUUAUUUUUAUUUCUCUGAGUGAGUUCUUAUCCUGCACACUUUCUCAUUGGGCUUUCCCUAACGAGUCUUGUUCUUCAACCUUUUGUUGAUGAGAAUGAUAUCCUCAGUUGAGUCAAUGGUAUUUCUCUUAGUGAGUUCCUAUCCUGCAUCCUUUUUCAUUCAAUUUCCCCCAACGAGUCUUUUUCUUCAACCUUUUAUUGAUGAGGAUGAUAUUCCUCAAUGAAUCAUUUUCUUCAUCCUUUUGUUGAUGAUAUCACCAAGUAAGUCUUACCCUUUAACCUUUUGUUGAUUACAAUACUCCCUAGCAAUUUUAUUUUCUCAGCCUUUCAUUGAUGAUCUUAUUCGCCAACAAGUCUUUACCACCAUCCUUUCGUUGAUGGCGAUCUUUGAAGUUAUGAUCUCAACAUCAUCCUUUUGUCAAUGGCGAUCUUUGUAAGAUAUGAUCUUACCAUUAUCCUUUCGUUAAAGGAAAUCUUUGCAAGUCGUUGAUCUUAUCAUUGUCCUUUCUUCGAUUGUGAUCUUUGUAAGUUAUGGUCUUACCAUCAUCCUCUCGUUGAUGGUGACCUUUUCAAGUUAUUGAUCUUACCAUCAUCCUUUUGUUGAUGGAGAUGUUUAUAGUUUUGGUCUUACCAUUGUCAUUUUGUUGAUGACGAUCUUUGCAAGUUAUUGAUCUAACAAUCACCCUUUCGUCGAUGGCGAUAUUUUUAGGUGUUGAUCUUACCGUCGUUCUUUCAUCGAUGGUGGUCUUUACAAGUUAUUGAUCUUACCAUCGUCCUUUCGUCGAUGAUAUCCCUUGCAAGUUAUUGAUCUUGCCAUUAUCCUGUCGGCGAUGGCGAUAUUUGCAAAUUGUUAAUCUUACCAUCAUUGUUUCAUCGAUGAAGGUCUUUGCAAGUUGAUGAUCUUACCAUCGUCCUUUCAUCGACGGUGGUCUUUGCAAGUUGUUGAUCUUACCAUUUUCCUUUUGUCGAUGGCGAUCUUUUCAAAUUGCAGGUCUUACCAUCAUUUUUUCAUGUAUGGUGAUCUUCACAGUUCUUGAUCUUACGAUCGUCCUUUCAUCGUUGGAGGUCUUUGCAAAUUGCUAAUCUUACCAUCGUCUUUUCAUCGAUGGAAAUCUUUGCAGUUGUUGAUCUUACCAUCCUCCUCUCAUCGAUGAUGAUCUUUGUAGUUAUUGAUCUUACCAUUUUCCGUUUAUUGAUGUCGAUCUUUGUAGUUAUGAUCUUACCAUUAUCCUUUCGUUAAUGGCGGUCUUUACGAGUUAUGAUCAUACCAUUAUCCUUUUAUCGAUGGCGACCUUUGCAAGUUGUUGAUCUUAGUGUCGUCCUUUCAUUGAUGGUGAUCUUUGAAGUUAUAAUCUUACCAUUAUCCUUUUGUUAAUUCAGAUCUUUUUGAGUUAUGAUCUUACCAUUAUUCUUUCAUUAAUAGCGAUCUUUGCAAGUUAUUGAUCUUACUAUCAUCCUUUCGUUGGUGACGAUCUUUGCAAGUUAUGUUCUUAGCAUUAUCCUUUCGUUGAUGACGAUCGUUGCAAGUUAUUGAUCUUACCAUCAUCCUUUCGUUGAUGGAAAUCUUUACAGCUUCGGUCUUACCAUCGUCCUUUCUUCGAUUGAGAUCUUUUUGGUUAUGAUCUUACCGUCGUUCUUUCAUCGAUGGUGAUCUUUGCAAGAUGUUGAUCCUACAAUCAUCCUUUCUUCGAUGGUGAUCUUUGCAAGUUAUGAUCUUACCAUUGUCCUUUCGUCGAUGACGAUCUUUGCAAUAUGUUAAUCUUACCCUCUUCCUUUUGUCAAUGGCGAUCUUCGCAAGAUGUUGAUAUUUGCAAGUUAUUGAAGUUACCUGUUGCAGCUGAAAAAAUGACAGAGUCGCCACCAUACUUUAUUUGUUUCUAAGGAACGGGAAAAUAAUGAUAAAACCUAAUAGUUAAAGGUGAGAUACUGGGUUCGGGAGUUGGUUAAGUAAGGGGAAGUUACUAAGCACCCCUUACCUCCAUUGUAUUCAAUGGGAUCCUCCUUCAAUUCUAGGGUUAGUGUGCAUUCCUAACGUAUUUGCUUGAUUAAUGGUUGAUUAUUCAAUUUUACAGAAGGUAUUUUACUUAAACGGCUGAGAGACCAAAAAGGUUUUUUAUAAAUGUAUUCUCUAGAGUUUACAACUCUAUGCUUACGUACCUUUGAAUUAGGAGAAGGAUCAGAGUAGCGUAGCUCUUCUUGAAAAUGUUGGUUGGUUGGUUAUUUUUAUCCCUUGAAAAAUGCUCACGUAUCGGGGACAGAGAAAUACUCGAUUUUAGAAAAUGCCCCAAUACACUAGGGUAAAGGUCUUACAAUUUAAAGUGAGUUUGAAUUGAUUUUAUCCCUUUAUCCCUUGCAAAAAAAUAUUAUUUUAAUUUAAUUAAGAAAAUAAAUUAGGAGUCAUAAUUAUGUAUUAGACAUAACCUCUUUAUCCCGAUUUUAAUCUCGAUUUAACCUUUGAAAACCUCUUAGUUUUAUCCCAAAUCAUAUCUCAUGUCUUUAUCCCAUUUGAAUUUGAAAAUAUCAUUUAAUUUAAUUAAUAAAAAUAUAUUAAAUAUGAUAUAAUAAUAUAAUAUAAAAUAAAUCAAAUUAAAGGUAAUACAAAUAAAUUAAAUUGGAUGUCAUAAGAUAUAUCCCCUCCCUAUUUUGUCCCAUUUUUACAUCCCUUAAAACCCUAAAAAUUAUUCCUGAUUUUAUCCCAUACUUCCUGAUUUAAUUACCCCUAAUGUAAAUAAUAUAAAUCCCUAAUUAAUUAAAGUAUUACAAUUAUAAUUAAUCAAUUAAAUAAAUAAAUAUCAUGAAUAACAAAAAUCUAAUUUUUAUUUUCAUUGAAUUACUCCUAAAUAUUAAAUGGGUAAAUCUUAAUUAAUAGUUAAUUAAGUAAUUAAUUAACUAAAAAGUAAUAAAACGAGGGAGGUGUAUUUUGCACUGAUAAGCAAGUGGGCCAUUAGGAGGGGGUGUCAAAAGAAAUAGAGAGAGGCCCAUUGGCCUCUUGGAGCCCACUGCAUCCCGAAGGUCAUCCUGGGAGUUUCAACGAUGGACUUUCAACCAGGAGCGUUUGAUCUGUUGACUGGAGAGUCAACAAUAUCAAACCUCAAGCGUAUGAUGAAAUGACCACGUAAGUAUGCUAAUCGAAGGUACGAUACGCAAAGUCAAAUGGUGGAUCUGGCCGCGUCGGAUGAGUCAAGGGUUAACUCAUCUAAAGGCCAUAUGGAAAGCCACGUGGGGGGAAUCCAGCGGGGCGGAGGCACGCAUUUAAAUCUCUUUCCCUUUAGAUCAUUCCCAUUCUCUCUAUUCACUCUUUAUCUAACUCUUCGUUCUCUCUCUGUUCUUUUCUCUACCCUCUCUUUUCUCUCUAAAAUCUCCCCUCUGAGCCACCCUUCUCCCAUCGUGAACCACCUCCCGAAAAACCACCUUCAACUGGGAUUUUCAUGUUCAUCAUGAACAUGAAGAACACCCAACCCAUAAUCGUCCUUCCCUCGCCCUUUUCCCUGAAAUGGCCACAAACCCCAGAUCUCUGGUUGAAGCUCAAACAGGAUCUUCAAUAAAUGUUCAUCUAGGUGAUGAACAUCAACCCAGAACCCUAAUGAAUCACAAACCCUACCCCAUUUCCCAAAUAAACCCUAGCCCAACCCAGAUGAUCUCUAGGGUUCAUCACAUGAACCCUGACCUUAAUUUUUCCAGAAACACCAAAUUUUCCCUAAUUCAAACCCUAAACCUUGGCCGAUCCAUAUAUCGGCCUUCCCCAAAACCCUAAUUAAAUCCUUAAUCAUCAAAAUAAAACCAUAACCCCCAUUUAAAAUACCCAACGAAAACAAAAUUUAAAACCACAACAAAUCAACGCAAGCAACAAUUCAAAGUAGAAUAUGAAGAUAUAAAGUCCAACCUACAGAAUGGAGAUUUAUUCUGGUUAAGAGGUAAAUUACAAGCCCUUGCUUUUCCUUUGUUCGAUUUGGUUGCUUCCUCUUCUCCCUUUAACUUCCUCUUUUACUUUCUCUUUGAUGCGAGGUAUUGUUGGGGUUGAAUGAUGGCUAGCUCAAAAGAAUUAGGGUUUAAAUGUGAAACCCUAAUUUCUGUUUGAAUUCGGGCUUUUUGUUAGAGAUUGGAUUUGCAGUAACAAGUAUAUUUUGGGGGUUAUCUUUUCCCUCAUUCAUCCGGUCUUAACAUUAGGCUUUUAUAGAUUGAUUUUAGGUUUUAAGAUUUAAUUUGAUUGAUUCAAUUAGGUAACUUAGAAUUUGAUUUUGAUUGUAAUGUGAUUUUGAUUGUUUUUGUGUUAGAAAUAGAGAUUAGGUCUAAAUUGUAACUGAAAUUUGUGAUUUAUGUAGUAUGAAUUUGAUAUGUAGGUCAUAAUUUUGAAUGUAAAUGGAAAGUUUUGAUUAAAAAUUGCAAGUUUACUAUUUGAUUGUGUUGAAUCAGGGGGUGAUUGAGGAAGACGGCCAACAGGGUUUUGGGUAAAAAAAUAAAAAAAAAAGGAUAAAAAUCUGAUUAAAUAGUAACUUAAUUUUAAUAAUUCAUUAAUUAAUAAUAUUAAUAUUCUAAUGAUAAAUAAUAAUAAUAAAUAAUAAGUAAUAAUAAUGUUAAUAUUCUAAUAAUGAUAAAUAAUAAUAGCAUUAAGAAAUAAUAAUAACAUUAAUAACCAACAAUUUAAUUUUAACCAUGUAAUUUGAAUAACUUAGAAAUUCAUCAAAAACUAAUUAAUUUUAAAAGAUCCAAUUAAAAUAUCAACAUCAACCCAAGCCCACCUAAUUUAACAACUUAAUACUCUAAACAAAUUUGCUAAUAUCAAAAUAAAUCCAAUUAAUAUUUAAAUACUUAACAUUAAUUAAAGUCAAUCUUAUCCCUAAUGCCAUUCCUAAAACCUGACUUAAUCCUAAAUGAAUAAAUAUAAAACUAAAUAUUCUCAUAAAAAUUCAAAAUGGUCCCCCUUUGACUUUUUAUGUUAUUGGGGUUGACCAGGUGAAAAUAGGAAGAUUAGGCGGUCAAAAUUUGGGUUACGACAGCUUCCCCUAU
rnacentral:lncRNA from 1 species